rnacentral:lncRNA from 1 species
CAACCAUGAGGUUUUGUCGAUCCUAAGGAUACUAACAAGUAUGCAAACUCCAGCGAUCCUUCAAUGGACUGGUGCAAGCAUCUCGGAGUUGGAAUAAGCACUUUGAUGAGAUGAUCAAAGAUUUUGGGUUUUGUACAAGGUUUAUGAGAAACUUGUAUUUCCAAAGAAGUGAGUGGGAGCACUAUAGAAUUUCUGAUAAGAAUAUGUGGUUGACAUGUUGUGGAUCAGAAGUAAUGUAGAAUUUAUGUAAAGCAUAUAAGGUUGUUUGAAAGGAGUUUUCAAAGGAAUACCUGGAUUGCGCUUCUUGAACGUUGAGCAUCAAAGAUCUAUGGAGAUAGAUCAAAAAGCGCUUAAUGGAAGUUUCAACAAGAUGCAUGCCUUGACAAGUUUUUGAAGGAGUUCAAAAUAGAUCAGCAAAGAAGGAGUUCUUGGUUGCGUUGUGAGGUAUGAAUUUGAGUAAGACUCAAAACCCGACCACGGCAGAAUAAAGAGAAUAGACGAAGGUCGUCUUCUAUGCCUUAGUCGUAGACUCUAAAAGUAUGCCAUGCUGAGUACCGCACCUGAUGUGUGCCUUGACUCAAAGUCUGUUGAGGGUACAGAGAGUGAUCCAUGAUUGAAUCACUAGCAGCGGUCAAAAUUUAUCCUUAGUAACUAAUGGACUAAGGAAUUUUUCUCGAUUAUGGAGGUGGUUAAAGAGUUCGUCGUAAAGGUUUACGUUGAUACAAGCUUUGACACUAAUCCGAAUAACUAUGAGUAGUGAAACGGAUUCGUAUAGUAGAGUAGAUAUUUGGAGCAUUUCCGAAUAGCACGUAGUAGCAGCAUCUAUAAGAUGACAUAAAGAUUUGUAAAGAACACACGGAUCUGAAGGUUUCAGAACCGUUGACUAAAACCUCUCUCAAGAGCAAGACGUGAUCAGACUCCAUAACUAUAUGGGUGUUGGAUUCGUUGGAAUCACAUGGUGAUGUGAACUAGAUUAUUGACUCUAGUGCAAGUGGGAGACUGUUGGAAAUAUGCCCUAGAGGCAAUAAUAAAUUAGUUAUUAUUAUAUUUCUUAGUUCAUGAUAAUCGUUUAUUAUCCAUGCUAUAAUUGUAUUGAUUGGAAACACAAUACUUGUGUGGAUACAUAGACAAAACACUGUCCCUAGUAAGCCUCUAGUUGACUAGCUCGUUGAUCAAAGAUGGUCAAGGUUUCCUGGCCAUAGGCAAGUGUUGUCACUUGAUAACGGGAACACAUCAUUAGGAGAAUCAUGUGAUGGACUAGACCCAAACUAAUAGACGUAGCAUGUUGAUCGUGUCAUUUUGUUGCUACAGUUUUCUGCGUGUCAAGUAUUUGUUCCUAUGACCAUGAGAUCAUAUAACUCACGGACACCGGAGGAAUGCUUUGUGUGUAUCAAACGUCGCAACGUAACUGGGUGACUAUAAAGAUGCUCUACAGGUAUCUCCGAAGGUGUUCGUUGAGUUAGUAUAGAUCGAGACUGGGAUUUGUCACUCCGUGUGACGGAGAGGUAUCUCGGGGCCCACUCGGUAAUACAACAUCACACACAAGCCUUGCAAGCAAUGUAACUUAAUGUAAGUUGCGGGAUCUUGUAUUACGGAACGAGUAAAGAGACUUGCCGGUAAACGAGAUUGAAAUAGGUAUGCGGAUACUAACGAUCGAAUCUCGGGCAAGUAACAUACCGAAGGACAAAGGGAAUGACAUACGGGAUUAUACAAAUCCUUGGCACUGAGGUUCAAACGAUAAGAUCUUCGUAGAAUAUGUAGGAUCCAAUAUGGGCAUCCAGGUCACGCUAUUGGAUAUUGACCGAGGAGUCUCUCGGGUCAUGUCUACAUAGUUCUCGAACCCGCAGGGUCUGCACACUUAAGGUUCGACGUUGUUUUAUGCGUAUUUGAGUUAUAUGGUUGGUUACCGAAUGUUGUUCGGAGUCCCGGAUGANNNNNNNNNNNNNNNNNNNNNNNNNNNNNNNNNNNNNNNNNNNNNNNNNNNNNNNNNNNNNNNNNNNNNNNNNNNNNNNNNNNNNNNNNNNNNNNNNNNNCCGUCUCUCUUGCUGGAUCAAGAAGGCCGAGAUCAUCGUCGAGCUGUACGUGUGCUGAACGCGGAGGUGCUGUCCGUUCGGUACUAGAUCGUGGGACUGAUCGCGGGAUUGUUCGCGGGGCGGAUCGAGGGACGUGAGGACGUUCCACUACAUCAACCGCGUUCUCUAACGCUUCUGCUGUACAGUCUACAAGGGUACGUAGAUCACUCAUCCCCUCUCGUAGAUGGACAUCACCAUGAUAGGUCUUCGUGCGCGUAGGAAAUUUUUUGUUUCCCAUGCGACGUUCCCCAACAUUCGAGAACUAUGUAGACAUGACCGAGACACUCUCCAGUCAAUAACCAAUAGCGGGACCUGGAUUUCCAUAUUGUUUCCUACAUAUUCUGCGAAGAUCUUUAUCGGUUGAACCUCUAUGUCAAGGAUUCAGUUAAUCCCGCAUAACAUUCCCUUUGUCCUUCGUUAUGUUACUUUCCCGAGAAUUGAUCGUUGAUAUAUCUAUACCUAGUGGGCCCCGAGAUAACUCUACAUCACAUGGAGUGAAAAAUUCUAGUCUUGAUCCAUGCUAACUCAACAGACACCUUCGGAGAUACCUGUAGAGCACCUUUAUAGUCACCCAGUCACGUUGCGAUGUUUGAUACACACAAGGUAUUCUUUCGGUGUUAGUGAGUUACAUGAUCUCAUGGUCAUAGGAACAUAUACUUGACAUGUAAAAAACACUAGCAAUAAAACGACACGAUCCCAUGCUACGUUCAUUGUAUGGGUCUUGUCCAUCACAUCAUUCUCCUAAUGAUGUGAUCCCGUUAUCAAGUGACAACAAUUGCCUAUGGCUAGGAAACCUUAACCAUCUUUGUUCAACGAGCUAGUUAACUAGAGGCUUACUAGGGAUAGUGUGUUGUCUAUAUAUCCACACAUGUAUCUAAGUUUCCAUUCGAUACAAUUCUAGCAUGGACAAUAAACGAUUAUCUUGAAUAAGGAAAUAUAAUAAUAACUAUUUUAUUAUUGCCUCUAGGGCAUAUUUCCAACAUGUAGUGGUGGAGCUCGCGAAGGUCCGGGAAGGGCUUGGUGGGCUAGCGGAUGGUAGAGCAACGACAUCGACAAGGUAGCUAGCGGAUGCAGAGAAAGAGAAAAGAUAGAGACAUUGGGCCGAGACAAGGUUUCGAUUGAUCCGGGGGUGUUGUAGCCCUAUGUGUGGCAGUCCAAUCUCCCGCAAAGCCUCACUGGCAGUUCGCAUUCGUUUUACAAAAAAAACUAACAAGCAGACUAGUCUGUGGACCGAUGCAGGACAACAUUGGAUGACAAUUUGCAUCUGCACGAUCCAGAUGUUUGAAACUGAUUUGAGGGUCCAUUUUGAAGAGGCCAUAAUGAGUAGUUAAGACGAGUCCAAAGUUUUAAACAUGGACCUUGGCACCAUCACCCAAACAUUGAGGCAUGUUUGGUGACUUGCAUCUUUUUUCCUCUUUGCAUGUGUGUCUCAGAUGGGCAUGGCUCCACAUAGUUUGGUUGCUGGCUUCUAGGCUUGUAGGUACAAUUGGCCCAAAAUCAUUAUUUGCACAUAGUUUGGUUGCCCGCUUCUAGGCUAGCUUCAUGAGGGAACCAAUAUUGACCCGAUGUUUUGUUGCCUACGUUGCACUAGACGCACAAACUACACGUUGUUUGGUUGCAAACUCUAUAAGGGGCUAUCACCAGUUAUCACUAGUGGUGACCUUACCACACACGAUCUGAAUAUAGUUUGAGUCCUAGCUAGAAAACAAAUCGUUGUUCAUCCUAGCUAUUAAUGAAUAGCGGUACAUAUAUAAUCGUCGAAUGGUUGAAUAGGGGAAAGUUCAUCGAUGCCGAAUUAGUUGGAAGUCCAUCCUAGUCCUUUUCUUAUUCUGCUGGUGUUGUUUCUUCUUCUUCCUUGACUUCCUUUUCUUCUUCUCCUUAUCUUCUUCUUCUNNNNNNNNNNNNNNNNNNNNNNNNNNNNNNNNNNNNNNNNNNNNNNNNNNNNNNNNNNNNNNNNNNNNNNNNNNNNNNNNNNNNNNNNNNNNNNNNNNNNUAUCAAGAUAAUCGUUUAUUAUCCAUGCUAUAAUUGUAUUGAAUGAAGACUCAUUUACAUGUGUGGAUACUUAGACAAAACACUGUCCCUAGCAAGCCUCUAGUUGGCUAGCCAGUUGAUCAAAGAUAGUCAGUGUCUUCUGAUUAUGAACAAGGUGUUGUUGCUUGAUAACUGGAUCACGUCAUUAGGAGAAUCACGUGAUGGACUAGACCCAAACUAAUAGACGUAGCAUGUUGAUCGUGUCAUUUUGUUGCUACUGUUUUCUGCGUGUCAAGUAUUUGUUCCUAUGACCAUGAGAUCAUAUAACUCACUAACACCGGAGGAAUACUUUGUGUGUAUCAAACGUCGCAACGUAACUGGGUGACUAUAAAGAUGCUCUACAGGUAUCUCCGAAGGUGUUCGGGGGGGGGGGGGGGGGGGAGACUGGGAUUUGUCACUCCGUGUGACGGAGAGGUAUCUCGGGGCCCACUCGGUAAUACAACAUCACACACAGGCCUUGCAAGCAAUGUAACUUAGUGUAAGUUCCGGGAUCUUGUAUUAUGGAACGAGUAAAGAGACUUGCCGGUAAACGAGAUUGAAAUAGGUAUGCGGAUACCGACGAUCGAAUCUCGGGCAAGUAACAUACCGAAGGACAAAGGGAAUGACAUAUGGGAUUAUAUGAAUCCUUGGCACUGAGGUUCAAACGAUAAGAUCUUCGUAGAAUAUGUAGGAUCCAAUAUGGGCAUCCAGGUCUCGCUAUUGGAUAUUGACCGAGGAGUCUCUCGGGUCAUGUCUACAUAGUUCUCGAACCCGCAGGGUCUGCACACUUAAGGUUCGACGUUGUUUUAUGCGUAUUUGAGUUAUAUGGUUGGUUACCAAAUGUUGUUCAGAGUCCCGGAUGAGAUCACGGAUGUCACAAGGGUUUCCGGAAUGGUCCGGAAACGAAGAUUGAUAUAUAGGAUGACCUCAUUUGAUUACCGGAAGGUUUNNNNNNNNNNNNNNNNNNNNNNNNNNNNNNNNNNNNNNNNNNNNNNNNNNNNNNNNNNNNNNNNNNNNNNNNNNNNNNNNNNNNNNNNNNNNNNNNNNNNCACCAGCCCACUAAGGGCUGGUGCGCCACCCUCAAGGCCUAUGGGCUUCCCCGGGGUGGGUUGCCCCCCCGGUGAACUCCCGGAACCCAUUCGUCAUUCCCGGUACAUUCCCGGUAACUUCGAAAACCUUCCGGUAAUCAAAUGAGGUCAUCCUAUAUAUCAAUCUUCGUUUCCGGAUCAUUCCGAAAACCCUCGUGAUGUUCGUGAUCUUAUCCGGGACUCCGAACAACAUUCGAUAACCAACCAUAUAACUCAAAUACGCAUAAAACAACGUCGAACCUUAAGUGUGCAGACCCUACGGGUUCGAGAACUAUGUAGACAUGACCUGAGAGACUCCUCGCUCAAUAUCCAAUAGCGGAACCUGGAUGCCCAUAUUGGAUCCUACAUAUUCUACGAAGAUCUUAUCGUUUGAACCUUAGUGCCAAGGAUUCAUAUAAUCCCGUAUGUCAUUCCCUUUGUCCUUCGGUAUGUUACUUGCCCGAGAUUCGAUCGUCAGUAUCCGCAUACCUAUUUCAAUCUCGUUUACCGGCAAGUCUCUUUACUCGUUCCGUAAUACAAGAUCCCGCAACUUACAAUAAGUUACAUUGCUUGCAAGGCUUGUGUGUGAUGUUGUAUUACCGAGUGGGCCCCGAGAUACCUCUCCGUCACACGGAGUGACAAAUCCUAGUCUUGAUCCAUACUAACUCAACGAACACCUUCGGAGAUACCUGUAGAGCUUCUUUAUAGUCACCCAGUUACGUUGCGACGUUUGAUACACACAAAGUAUUCCUCCGGUGUUAGUGAGUUAUAUGAUCUCAUGGUCAUAGGAACAAAUACUUGACACGCAGAAAACAGUAGCAACAAAAUGACACGAUCAACAUGCUACGUCUAUUAGUUUGGGUCUAGUCCAUCACGUGAUUCUCCUAAUGACGUGAUCCAGUUAUCAAGCAACAACACCUUGUUCAUAAUCAGAAGACACUGACUAUCUUUGAUCAACUGGCUANNNNNNNNNNNNNNNNNNNNNNNNNNNNNNNNNNNNNNNNNNNNNNNNNNNNNNNNNNNNNNNNNNNNNNNNNNNNNNNNNNNNNNNNNNNNNNNNNNNNCAUGUUGAUCGUGUCAUUUUGUUGCUACAGUUUUCUGCGUGUCAAGUAUUUGUUCCUAUGACCAUGAGAUCAUAUAACUCACGGACACCGGAGGAAUGCUUUGUGUGUAUCAAACGUCGCAACGUAACUGGGUGACUAUAAAGAUGCUCUACAGGUAUCUCCGAAGGUGUUCGUUGAGUUAGUAUGGAUCGAGACUGGGAUUUGUCACUCCGUGUGACGGAGAGGUAUCUCGGGGCCCACUCGGUAAUACAACAUCACACACAAGCCUUGCAAGCAAUGUAACUUAANUGUAAGUUGCGGGAUCUUGUAUUACGGAACGAGUAAAGAGACUUGCCGGUAAACGAGAUUGAAAUAGGUAUGCGGAUACUAACGAUCGAAUCUCGGGCAAGUAACAUACCGAAGGACAAAGGGAAUGACAUAUGGGAUUAUACAAAUCCUUGGCACUAAGGUUCAAACGAUAAGAUCUUCGUAGAAUAUGUAGGAUCCAAUAUGGUCAUCCAGGUCCCGCUAUUGGAUAUUGACCGAGGAGUCUCUCGGGUCAUGUCUACAUAGUUCUCGAACCCGCAGGGUCUGCAUUCUUAAGGUUCGACGUUGUUUUAUGCGUAUUUGAGUUAUAUGGUUGGUUACCGAAUGUUGUUCGGAGUCCCGGAUGNNNNNNNNNNNNNNNNNNNNNNNNNNNNNNNNNNNNNNNNNNNNNNNNNNNNNNNNNNNNNNNNNNNNNNNNNNNNNNNNNNNNNNNNNNNNNNNNNNNNUCAUGAAUUCAUCAGAAAUUCAUUCACAUGGUUGUACCUGUGCGUUCCUCGGUUGGUAAGGAUCGGGUUCCCGAAUCGCAAGACGGGGCCUCUCUUGCUUGAGGAACCACCAUGAUAGUUUCUCCUGAACAUCUUCCUUUUCUGAAAUUUUCAGUGUCCCAAAGGAAAAGUGAACAAGGCUCAAUCAAACUUGUAGGAACUACUCCCUCAAGUGCCUAGAGGCCAUAUUACGCACCAAAACUACUUGGGGCCAGCUAAACUUGUAGAAACAGGGUCACCAAGGUAGCAAAACUACGCGAAGUAUAAGGCACUAGAGCAAAAACUAAUUGGACCAAUGGGGGAGUCACUUACCAGGGAGUAAUUUCCCAAAACAGUUUGCAGAAUGGUGCUUUGAGCAAGGAGAUCGAAAAUCCCAUCAAGAAGAGCAAGAACACGGGUUUGAGCUGCGAAACGAUUUUUUCUGGAGGUAGGAGAAGCAGAUGGGAGCUAGAAUGAGUGGAGGGGGUGCACGUGGGCGCCACAAGCCAGGUAGGCACGGCCAGGGGGUGCCCGCGCCUGCACGGCUUGUGGCCCACUGGUGCAACCCCCAGACUAGCUCUUCGUCCGAGUAUUUUUCAAAAAUUCCAGAAAAAUAAUACUUGAUUUUCAGGACGUUCGGAGAACUUUUAUUUUCGGGGUACUUUUCCACGGGAUGCUAAAAGCAGAAAACAAGGAAAACUAAACUAACCUAUCAUUUUUCUUCUAAGCAACCGAAAGUGAAAGCUUGGAACAGAGGUUUGUGACUCCUCGAUUCAUCCAUCUCAUGGUCAUCGAAAGAAAUCCGUCAAUGAGUUUGAUCUCCUCGACAAACCUUUUCGAAUCGCAAAAGAGAACGGAGAAUUUUCGAAUAGUCACUAGGUCACCUCAAUGGGGAUGUAUAUCUCCCCAACAAGCAAAUCAUACUUCAUCUUAACAGGAGGUAUAGGUAAUUCAAAGCUCCCAAUAAGAAUCCAUGAAUUUUUUCGAUAGCAUUGAUGCAAUGUACUCGAUAUUGUUUCUUCGGAAAGUGCACUCUAUACUCAUUACCUUGACAUGGAAAGUGACAUUGCCUUUGUUGCAAUCUAUAACAGCCCGUGUGGUGUUUAAAAGGGUCUUCCAAGGAUGACCGCCAUGGCAUCGUCCUCGAGAAUAUCCAGAAUAACACAGUCCGUUAAGAUAGUAACGUUAGCAACCACAAUAGGCACAUCCUCGCAAAUGCCUAUAGGGAAAGCAGUUGAUUUGUCGGCCAUUUGCAGAGAGAUUUCAGUGGGUGUCUGUAAGUGCAUCUAGUGCCCCUUAGUGAGAGAGAUAAUUGCACGUUUAGUCCUGGUACUCGCUGGCGCUGUACAAUUCAGUCCUUAUACUUGCGAAGUGCUUCAAUACGGUCCCGGUACACGAAAAUACGUCGUCAAUACAGUCUCUAAGGUUGAAACCUCAGUCCCGGCAAUACACGACCCGCACGUACCGCGUACUUCCCCUGUAUUCCAUGUCAUCCUGGCCCCGCGCGUCAGAGGGGACCCACCCGUCAGCUAGAGUGGCUGUUUUUUUGCAUUCGCCCCCGUCUCUGCUUGGAUCUGGAACAACUCCAGGGCAGGGGUAUGUUCUACUGCAGCACCAACUUGAACGAACAACAGGGCUUGUCAUCUGCAGGAGAGCAGCAGGAGCACCAAGGGGGCAUGAGGAAACCGCAACAAAUGAACAGAGAGAAACCAACAAUUAUCUGUACAUCCAUCCCCUUACCCAAGUAAGUAUAUAGCACAUUUUUCUAAUUAACUACUGUACAAAAUGUCAGAAUGCAUCUCACUUAAUGUCUAGCUGUAUGAACUAGUACUAGAAUUCAGUAACAACGAUCUCCAAGAGAGACACGGGCAAAACAAGCUACAGACGCAUGGCUUUGUUCAAACACGAGAACCUUGAUGAACGUUAGCAUUACCAGGAUUGGCAUUUCAAAAUGACAUCUUUCUCCACUUCUAGCUCGGAUAGGAAAUGUUUCUUCAGCCGAGACACACAUACUUGGAUCUGGAACACCUCCUGCAGCACCAACUUCAACGAACAAUGGUGCACACUGGAUUUUCAUCUACAGCACCAACAGAGCAACAAGGGGUGCGUGAGGAAACCACAUCAAAUUGAACAAGGAGAAAGAGGGAGAGAGGUGCCGGGAGGAGAAGAGGGGCGAGGGGGGGUCACCUUAACGAGGUCCAUGGCGUGGUCGGAGCAGCCGACGAGGGGCGGCCGGAGAAGAAGCAGUCGCUACUCCUCUCGUGGCGCGCGACCUCCGUCGCGGAUAAGGAAGCAGCGGUGUGGAGCUCCUAUCCAUCUCGCCAAUGAGUCCGAGCUCGUCGCCGGCUGCGACGACGACGACGUCGACGACCGGAGCAGCAGGAGGAUGAAGACCCUGCAGAGGCUGUACCGCGUAGAGCGCCGUGCUCCCCGGCUCGGUCGCCGCAGCCGGCACGGGGUCGUGUUGAUGUUGGGAGCGCACCGACAAAAACGACGAGGACGAAACGGUACAACGCGUUAUCCACUUGAGCUGAUGGUGGGUCCCCUCUGACGCGCGGGACCAGGAUGACAUGGAAUACGGUGGAGUAUGCGGUACCGCGGGUCAUGUAUCAUCGGGACUGUGGUUCCAAGUUCAAGGAUUGUAUUGACGAUGUAUUUUUGUGUACCGGGACCGUAUUAAAGCACUUCGCAAGUACGGGACUGAAUUUGACAGCGCGAGCAAGUACGAGGACUAAACGUGAAAUUAUCUCUGAUUUGGGUGGUUUGAAGACUUAUAGGUUAAGUAUCUAAUGUGUUCUUGAGUGUACACAGGAUCUAUAAGUCGCUGAGGAGUUUGAAAUAUUCGAUGAAUGUCCACCCCUAAAAAUGUAUAUCUUCGAUUGAAGAAAUUGGUCUGAAGCUGAAGAAUUGAAUCGCAAAGAAUUUGCGAUGAAAUUGAUAUUCCUCAUGAAUAUAUUGAAAUUGAGGAAUUCGGUGUGUCCUGAAAAAAUUUAAUCGGAAGACUUUGAAGCAUUAAGAUUUAUCCUUUCUGUUUUAUUUUCUUCACAAUUGAGUAAUAGGAACACCGUACUAUUAAAGGGGGUCGAGGUAACACAUUGGAAUGAAUUUCCUCAUGAUGCUCAACCCAAACCUAAACCUACCAAAAGCCUCAAGUGAGGAAUAUGAGAGACAUGAGGACUCUCAUAGUUGAGGGUCCCGACCAUUAUCGAUAGCCACGCUACACCAGAAGGUGGAUCAGAAUCACAAGUGGGUCAAACGCCAGUUCGGCGCCAUUGUGAAAACCCUCAAUGAAACGCAGAAUGCUGUGAAGCUUAACCAUCAUUAUCUUCAUGAGGUUUUUGAUCGCACCUGGGCCACAUUGGCUUAUUUGAAGACUCCAGCAGAACUUGAAGAAUUGGAGUUUGUUCGGGACUUCGACUGGUCAUGGCCACCAAAGAAGAAAUGCAGGCCAAUUCCAGUUCCAAACCUUGAGGACAGUUCCUUUUCUUCAUUCCGCACUGCUAAAUCUGAUGAAGAUCAACAAGACACUGCCACCGGUCCAACGAGGAAGUCUACUCCCAAGAAUCCUCAUGCGUCUUCCUCAACUGCCAAGAAGUGAAAGUCUUCACGGGCGUUAGUCCUUAGUUUGUCCCUUUUUGUCACUUGACGACAAGGGGGGAGAAACUUGAGAGUUAGUCUUCACGCGGGAUAUUUUGGGGGCUUAUAAACUUUAUUUAAGUUACAAACUAUUGGCUCUUCUGAAGUGUUUUAUGUAAUGAGUUGUAACUUAAUCCCGAUGGUACUCUGACGCUUUUGAACGUUUUUCUUCGCAUGCUUAUUCCUCAAAAAUUUAAUGCAUGCAUGCUGGAAUUCGUCAGAUACCAUUUGUCAUGAUGCAUCCUCAAUUUCUUCAUACUAUAUGUCGUAUGUAUGCCUGAUUUACAAGACUCAGGGGGAGAUCUCCAUGAUAUAAAUCAUCAAUGUGCAUCUGCUGUAGAAAGCAAAAUCCUCAGGAUAUGCACAUCUUCAGGGGGAGUCUCUCUGAAUCUUGAUUUAAAAUUCCUCAAAUGAGUAUUUACACUUCCUAUUUUUAUCCCUGUUGAAGACUUAACCUAAUUGUCAUCAACCACCAAAGGGGGAGAUUGUAAGUGCAUCUAGUGCCCCUUAGUGAUUUUGGUGGUUUGAAGACUUAUAGGUUAAGUAUCUAAUGUGUUCUUGAGUGUACACAUGAUCUAUAAGUCGCUGAGGAGUUUGAAAUAUUCGAUGAAUAUCGAAUCCUAAAAAUGUAUAUCUUCGGUUGAAGAAAUUGGUCUGAAGUUGAAGAAUUGAAUCGCAAAGAAUUUGCGAUGAAAUUGAUAUUCCUCAUGAAGAUAUUGAAAUUGAGGAAUUCGGUGUGUCCUGAAAAACUCAAUCUGAAGACUUUGAAGCAUGAAGAUUUAUCCUUUCUGUUUUAUUUUCUUCACACUUGAGUAAUUGGAACACCGUAAUGUUAAAGGGGGUCGAGGUAACACAUUGGAAUAAAUUUCCUCAUGAUGCUCAACCCAAGCCUAAUCCUACCAAAAGCCUCAAGUGAGGAAUAUGAGAGACAUGAGGACUCUCACAGUUGAGGGUCCCGACCGUUAUCGAUAGCCACGCUACAUCAUUGGUCUUAUCUACACCAACAGUCAUAUUAUUUAAGGGCAUUAAUGUCAAAUCAUGUCGGGAUGCUCCCAGGCUAUAAUUAGCCACCCCCCACAACCAUUACCUGGUUGGCUGCUCCGUUAGAAACUGACACUUGUCAUAAGAGCAACCCAAAUUCCUCAGAAUCUUCGAGAGUAAUUCAUCAGUGAGGAAAUACCCCAAACACCAAACCACAAACCAAAACCAAGCGAUUGAGCAUCACUGAAGAAGUUGUUCCUAUGUGGGACUGAAGUCUUUUACCUUUGAGGACUGUGCAUCCUCNCGCUUCAAGAGGUUUGGCAAUGAAAGCUGCCAAGAUACCUUUGAUCGCCUCACUGACAUAUCAAAUGAACUGCAAGCACUAGGAGCUCGAGACAUUACUGAUCACGAAGUUGUGAAGAAACUGCUAAGAUCUUUGGAUUCUUCAUUUGAUACUUUAGUUCUGAUGAUUCAAGAAAGACCAGACUACAAUAUGCUUGAUCCAGCUUAUAUACUAGAAAGACUCAAUACUCAUGAAUUCCAACAAGAAUAAAAGCGAGAUCUAUAUGGACCAAGCUACUCUAGACCUUCUCUUAAAUUCCUGUUUGAAGAAUUUUCACUAUCAGUGUUUGAAGAAUUUGCUGAAGACUUUCUCUGAAAUUUGCUGAAGACUUUCUCUGAAUUUGCUGAAGACCUUCUCUUCCACGGGCAAAGCAUGAUCAAGACGAGAACUGUAUGGGUGUUAGAUUUAUUACAAUGUAAUUCGCAUGAUGAUGUGAGGGCUAGAUUAUUGAAUCUACUGCAAGUGGGAGACUGUUGGAAUUAUGCCCUAGAGGCAAUAAUAAAUAUAGUUAUUAUUAUAAUUCCUGUAUCAAGAUAAUCGCUUAUUAUCCAUGCUAUAAUUGUAUUGAAUGAAGACUUAUAUACAUGUGUGGAUACAUAGACAAAACAUUGUCCCUAGCAAGCCUCUAGUUGGCUAGCCAGUUGAUCAAAGAUAGUCAGGGUCUUCUGAUUAUAUACAAGGUGUUGUUGCUUGAUAACUGGAUCACGUCAUUAGAAGAAUCACGUGAUGGACUAGACCCAAACUAAUAGACGUAGCAUGUUGAUCGUGUCAUUUUGUUGCUACUGUUUUCUGCGUGUCAAGUAUUUGUUCCUAUGACCAUGAGAUCAUAUAACUCACUGACACCGGAGGAAUGCUUUGUGUGUNNNNNNNNNNNNNNNNNNNNNNNNNNNNNNNNNNNNNNNNNNNNNNNNNNNNNNNNNNNNNNNNNNNNNNNNNNNNNNNNNNNNNNNNNNNNNNNNNNNNNNNNNNNNNNNNNNNNNNNNNNNNNNNNNNNNNNNNNNNNNNNNNNNNNNNNNNNNNNNNNNNNNNNNNNNNNNNNNNNNNNNNNNNNNNNNNNNNNNNNNNNNNNNNNNNNNNNNNNNNNNNNNNNNNNNNNNNNNNNNNNNNNNNNNNNNNNNNNNNNNNNNNNNNNNNNNNNNNNNNNNNNNNNNNNNNNNNNNNNNNNNNNNNNNNNNNNNNNNNNNNNNNNNNNNNNNNNNNNNNNNNNNNNNNNNNNNNNNNNNNNNNNNNNNNNNNNNNNNNNNNNNNNNNNNNNNNNNNNNNNNNNNNNNNNNNNNNNNNNNNNNNNNNNNNNNNNNNNNNNNNNNNNNNNNNNNNNNNNNNNNNNNNNNNNNNNNNNNNNNNNNNNNNNNNNNNNNNNNNNNNNNNNNNNNNNNNNNNNNNNNNNNNNNNNNNNNNNNNNNNNNNNNNNNNNNNNNNNNNNNNNNNNNNNNNNNNNNNNNNNNNNNNNNNNNNNNNNNNNNNNNNNNNNNNNNNNNNNNNNNNNNNNNNNNNNNNNNNNNNNNNNNNNNNNNNNNNNNNNNNNNNNNNNNNNNNNNNNNNNNNNNNNNNNNNNNNNNNNNNNNNNNNNNNNNNNNNNNNNNNNNNNNNNNNNNNNNNNNNNNNNNNNNNNNNNNNNNNNNNNNNNNNNNNNNNNNNNNNNNNNNNNNNNNNNNNNNNNNNNNNNNNNNNNNNNNNNNNNNNNNNNNNNNNNNNNNNNNNNNNNNNNNNNNNNNNNNNNNNNNNNNNNNNNNNNNNNNNNNNNNNNNNNNNNNNNNNNNNNNNNNNNNNNNNNNNNNNNNNNNNNNNNNNNNNNNNNNNNNNNNNNNNNNNNNNNNNNNNNNNNNNNNNNNNNNNNNNNNNNNNNNNNNNNNNNNNNNNNNNNNNNNNNNNNNNNNNNNNNNNNNNNNNNNNNNNNNNNNNNNNNNNNNNNNNNNNNNNNNNNNNNNNNNNNNNNNNNNNNNNNNNNNNNNNNNNNNNNNNNNNNNNNNNNNNNNNNNNNNNNNNNNNNNNNNNNNNNNNNNNNNNNNNNNNNNNNNNNNNNNNNNNNNNNNNNNNNNNNNNNNNNNNNNNNNNNNNNNNNNNNNNNNNNNNNNNNNNNNNNNNNNNNNNNNNNNNNNNNNNNNNNNNNNNNNNNNNNNNNNNNNNNNNNNNNNNNNNNNNNNNNNNNNNNNNNNNNNNNNNNNNNNNNNNNNNNNNNNNNNNNNNNNNNNNNNNNNNNNNNNNNNNNNNNNNNNNNNNNNNNNNNNNNNNNNNNNNNNNNNNNNNNNNNNNNNNNNNNNNNNNNNNNNNNNNNNNNNNNNNNNNNNNNNNNNNNNNNNNNNNNNNNNNNNNNNNNNNNNNNNNNNNNNNNNNNNNNNNNNNNNNNNNNNNNNNNNNNNNNNNNNNNNNNNNNNNNNNNNNNNNNNNNNNNNNNNNNNNNNNNNNNNNNNNNNNNNNNNNNNNNNNNNNNNNNNNNNNNNNNNNNNNNNNNNNNNNNNNNNNNNNNNNNNNNNNNNNNNNNNNNNNNNNNNNNNNNNNNNNNNNNNNNNNNNNNNNNNNNNNNNNNNNNNNNNNNNNNNNNNNNNNNNNNNNNNNNNNNNNNNNNNNNNNNNNNNNNNNNNNNNNNNNNNNNNNNNNNNNNNNNNNNNNNNNNNNNNNNNNNNNNNNNNNNNNNNNNNNNNNNNNNNNNNNNNNNNNNNNNNNNNNNNNNNNNNNNNNNNNNNNNNNNNNNNNNNNNNNNNNNNNNNNNNNNNNNNNNNNNNNNNNNNNNNNNNNNNNNNNNNNNNNNNNNNNNNNNNNNNNNNNNNNNNNNNNNNNNNNNNNNNNNNNNNNNNNNNNNNNNNNNNNNNNNNNNNNNNNNNNNNNNNNNNNNNNNNNNNNNNNNNNNNNNNNNNNNNNNNNNNNNNNNNNNNNNNNNNNNNNNNNNNNNNNNNNNNNNNNNNNNNNNNNNNNNNNNNNNNNNNNNNNNNNNNNNNNNNNNNNNNNNNNNNNNNNNNNNNNNNNNNNNNNNNNNNNNNNNNNNNNNNNNNNNNNNNNNNNNNNNNNNNNNNNNNNNNNNNNNNNNNGAUCUUGUAUUACGGAACGAGUAAAGAGACUUGCCAGUAAACGAGAUUGAAAUAGGUAUGCGGAUACUGACGAUCGAAUCUCGGGCAAGUAACAUACCGAAGGACAAAGGGAAUGACAUACGGGAUUAUAUGAAUCCUUGGCACUCAGGUUCAAACGAUAAGAUCUUCGUAGAAUAUGUGGGAUCAAAUAUGGGCAUCCAGGUCCCGCUAUUGGAUAUUGACCGAGGAGUCACUCGGGUCAUGUCUACAUAGUUCUCGAACCCGCAGGGUCUGCACACUUAAGGUUUGACGUUGUUUUAUGUGUAUUUGAGUUAUAUGGUUGGUUACCGAAUGUUGUUUGGAGUCCCGGAUGAGAUCACUGACGUCACGAGGGUUUCUGGAAUGGUCCGGAAACGAAGAUUGAUAUAUAGGAUUACCUCAUUUGAUUACCGGAAGGUUUUCGGAGUUACCGGGAAUGUACCGGGAAUGACGAAUGGGUUCCGGGUGUUCACCGGGGGGGGGCAACCCACCCCGGGGAAGCCCAUAGGCCUUGGGGGUGGCGCACCAGCCCUUGGUGGGCUGGUGGGACAGCCCAAGAGGGCCCUAUGCGCCAUNAGACUGGGAUUUGUCACUCCGUGUGACGGAGAGGUAUCUCGGGGCCCACUCGGUAAUACAACAUCACACACAAGCCUUGCAAGCAAUGUGACUUAGUGUAAGUUGCGGGAUCUUGUAUUACGGAACGAGUAAAGAGACUUGCCGGUAAACGAGAUUGAAAUAGGUAUGCGGAUACUGACGAUCGAAUCUCGGGAAAGUAACAUACCGAAGGACAAAGGGAAUGACAUACGGGAUUAUAUGAAUCCUUGGCACUGAGGUUCAAACGAUAAGAUCUUCGUAAAAUAUGUGGGAUCCAAUAUGGGCAUCCAGGUCCCGCUAUUGGAUAUUGACCGAGGAGUCACUCGGGUCAUGUCUACAUAGUUCUCGAACCCGCAGGGUCUGCACACUUAAGGUUUGACGUUGUUUUAUGCGUAUUUGAGUUAUAUGGUUUGUUACCGAAUGUUGUUCGGAGUCCCAGGUAAGAUCACGGACGUCACGAGGGUUUCCGGAAUGGUCCGGAAACGAAGAUUGAUAUAUAGGAUGACCUCAUUUGAUUACCGGAAGGUUUUCGGAGUUACCGGGAAUGUACCGGGAAUGACGAAUGGGUUCCGGGUGUUCACCGGGGGGGGGCAACCCACCCCGGGGAAGCCCAUAGGCCUUGGGGGUGGCGCACCAGCCCUUGGUGGGCUGGUGGGACAGCCCAAGAGGGCCCUAUGCGCCAAGGAUAGAAAAUCAAAGAGAAAGAAAAAAAAGAGGUGGGAAAAGAGAGAAGGACUCCACUUUCCAAUACUAGUUGGACUAGGAUUGGAGGAGGACUCCUCCUCCCCUUGGUGCGCAGCCCUUGGGGCUCCUUGAGCCUCNGGAUAGAAAAUCAAAGAGAAAGAAAAAAAAGAGGUGGGAAAGGAGAGAAGGACUCCACUUUCCAAUCCUAGUUGGACUAGGAUUGGAGGAGGACUCCUCCUCCCCUUGGUGCGCAGCCCUUGGGGCUCCUUGAGCCUCAAGGCAAGCCUCCCCUCCCUCCUCCUAUAUAUAUGGAGCAAUUAGGGCUGAUUUGAGACAACUUUUCAAAGGCAGCCCGACCACAUACCUCCACGGUUUUACCUCUAGAACGCGUUUCUGUGGAGCUCGGGCGGAGCCCUGCCAAGAUCAGAUCACCACCAACCUCCGAUGCGCCGUCACACUGUCGGAGAACUCAUCUACCUCUCCGUCUCCCUUGCUGGAUGAGGAAGGCCGAGAUCAUCGUCGAGCUGUACGUGUGUUGAAUGCGGAGGUGCCGUCCGUUCGGCACUAGAUCGUGGGACGGAUCGCGGGACGGUUCGUGGGACGGUUCGCGGGGCGGAUCGAGGGACGUGAGGAAGUUCCACUACAUCAACCGCGUUCACUAACGCUUCUGUUGUGCGAUCUACAAGGGUACGUAGAUCGGAAAUCCCCUCUCAUAGAUGAAUAUCACCAUGAUAGGUCUUCGUGCGCAUAGGAAAAUUUUUGUUUCCCAUGCGACGUUCCCCAAAAGUGGCAUCAUGAGCUAGGUUCAUGUGUAGAUGUCUUCUCGAGUAGAACACAAAAGUUUUUAUGGGCGGUGAUGUGCGUUUUGCUGCCCUCCUUAGUCUUUUCUUGAUUCCGCGGUAUUGUUGGAUUGAAGCGGCUUGGACCGACAUUACUCGUACGCUUACGAGAGACUGGUUUCAUCGCUACGAGUAACCCCCUUGCUCAAAGAUGACUGGCAAGUGUCGGUUUCUCCAACUUUAGUUGAAUUGGAUUUGACCGAGGAGGUCCUUGUAUAAGGUUAAAUAGCAAUUCAUAUAUCUCCAUUGUAGUGUUUGCGUAAGUAAGAUGCGAUCCUACUAGAUACCCAUGGUCACCACGUAAAACAUGCAAUAACAAAAUUAGAGGACGUCUAACUUGUUUUUGCAGGGUAUGCUUGUGAUGUGAUAUGGCCAACGAUGUGAUGUGAUAUAUUGGAUGUAUGAGAUGAUCAUGUUGUAAUAGAUAAUAUCGACUUGCACGUCGAUGGUACGGCAACCGGCAGGAGCCAUAGGGUUGUCUUCAAACUAACGUUUGUGCUUGCAGAUGCGUUUACUAUUUUGCUAGGAUGUAGCUUUAGUAGUAAUAGCAUGAGUAGCACGACAACCCCGAUGGCGACACGUUGAUGGAGAUCAUGGUGUGGCGCCGGUGACAAGAAGAUCGUGUCGGUGCUUUGGUGAUGGAGAUCAAGGAGCACGUGAUGAUGGCCAUAUCAUGUCACUUAUGAAUUGCAUGUGAUGUUAAUCCUUUUAUGCACCUUAUUUUGCUUAGAACGACGGUAGCAUUAUGAGGUGAUCUCUCACUAAAAUUUCAAGACGAAAUUGUGUUCUCCCAGACUGUGCACCGUUGCUACAGUUCGUCAUUUCGAGACACCACGUGAUGAUCGGGUGUGAUAGACUCAACGUUCACAUACAACGGGUGCAAAACAGUUGCACACGCGGAACACUCGGGUUAAGCUUGACGAGCCUAGCAUGUGCAGACAUGGCCUCGGAACACAUGAGACCGAAAGGUCGAUCAUGAAUCAUAUAGUUGAUAUGAUUAGCAUAGGAAUGCUUACCACUGAAACUAUACGCAACUCACGUGAUGAUCGGACUUGAGCUAGUGUAAGUGGGUCAUGAACCACUCAAAUGACUAGAGAGAUGUACUUUUUGAGUGGGAGUUUAGCAAGUAAUUUGAUUAAGUUAACUCUAAUUAUCUUGAACAUAGUCUAAGUCCACUUUGAAUAUAUUUGUGUUGUAGAUCGUGGCUCACGCGAUAGUCACCCUGAAUUUUAAUACGUUCCUAGAGAAAGCUAAGUUGAAAGAUGAUGGAAGCAACUUUGUAGACUGGGCUCAUAAUCUUAAGUUGAUCCUACAAGCUGGAAAGAAGGAUUAUGUCCUUAAUGCUGCGCUAGGAGAUGAACCACCCGCUACGGCUGACCAGGAUGCUAAGAACGCUUGGUUAACAUGUAAGGAGGACUACUCUGUAGUUCAAUGUGCAGUCUUGUAUGGCUUAGCACCGGGACUUCAACAUCGCUUUGAGCGUCAUGGAGCAUAUGAGAUGUUCCAGGAGUUGAAGUUUAUCUUUUAGAAGAACGCCCGGAUCGAGAGGUAUGAGACCUCCGAUAAAUUCUAUGCUUGCAAUGUGGAGGAGAAUUCGUCUGUCAGUGAACAUGUGCUCAAAAUGUCUGGGUACUCAAACCGUCUAGCUGAGCUGAGGAUUGAACUCCCGCAAGAGGCUAUCACUGACAGAAUUCUUCAAUCACUGCCGCCAAGCUAUAAGGGCUUUGUGUUGAACUACAACAUGCAAGGGAUGAACAAGUCACCCGGCGAGUUGUUUCCGAUGCUCAAAGUCGCAGAGUCUGAGCUCCGUAAAAAGCAUCAAGUGUUGAUGGUGAAUAAGACCACUAGUUUCAAGAGAAACGGCAAAGGCAAGAAGGGCAAUUCAAAGAAGAGCGGCAAGCAUGUUGCCAAUCCGACGAAGAAACCCAAAGCUGGACCUAAGCCUGAAACAGAGUGCUACUAUUGCAAGGGUAUGGGUCACUGGAAGCGCAACUGCCCCAAGUAUCUGGCUGAUAAGAAGGCAGCCAAAGAAAAAUCAGGUAUAUUUGAUAUACAUGUUAUUGAUGUGUACUUAACCGGCUCUCGUAGUAGUGCUUGGGUAUUCGAUACCGGUUCUGUUGCUCAUAUUUGCAACUCGAAACAGGAACUGCGGAAUAGGCGAAGGCUGGCGAAAGAUGAAGUGACGAUGCGUGUAGGAAAUGGUUCCAAGGUUGAUGCAAUCGCCGUCGGCACAGCUUCACUUCAGUUACCAUUGGGAUUAGUUAUGAACUUGAAUAAUUGUUAUUUAGUGCCUGCGUUGAGCAUGAACAUUAUAUCUGGAUCUUGUUUAUUGCGAGACGGUUACUCUUUUAAGUCAGAGAAUAAUGGUUGUUCUAUUUCUAUGAGUAACAUCUUUUAUGGUCAUGCACCUAAUGUGAGAGGAUUGUUCAUAUUGAAUCUUGAUAGUGAUACACAUAUACAUAACAUUGAGACCAAAAGAGUUAGAGGUAACAAUGAUAGCGCCGUGUUUUUGUGGCACUGCCGCUUAGGUCAUAUUGGUGUAAAGCGCAUGAAGAAACUCCAUACCGAUGGACUUUUGGAGUCACUUGACUUUGAUUCACUUGACACGUGUGAACCAUGCCUCAUGGGCAAGAUGACUAAAACUCCGUUCUCCGAAACAAUGGAGCGUGCCAGUGACUUAUUGGAAAUCAUACAUACCGAUGUGUGCGGUCCGAUGAGCGUGGAGGCACGCGGCGGAUAUCGUUAUUUUCUCACCUUCACUCACAAUUUGAGUAGAUAUGGUUAUGUCUACUUAAUGAAGCACAAGUCUGAAACAUUUGAAAAGUUCAAGCAAUUUCAGAGUGAAGUUGAAAAUCAUCGUAACAAGAAGAUCAAGUUCCUACGGUCUGAUCAUGGGGAUGAAUAUCUGAGUUUCGAGUUUGGUGCUCACUUAAGACAAUAUGGAAUUGUUUCACAGUUGAUACCGCCUGGAACACCACAGCGUAAUGGUGUGUCCGAACGUCGUAAUCGUACUUUAUUAGAGAUGGUGCGAUCUAUGAUGUCUCUUACCGAUUUGCCGUUAUCGUUUUGGGGUUAUGCAUUAGACACAGCUGCAUUCACUUUAAAUAGGGCACCAUCAAAAUCCGUUGAGACGACACCAUACGAACUAUGGUAUGGCAAAAGGCCAAAGUUGUCGUUUCUUAAAGUUUGGGGAUGUGAUGCUUAUGUCAAAAAGCUUCAGCCUGAAGAGCUGGAACCCAACGCGGAAAAAUGCAUCUUCAUAGGUUACCCAAAAGAGACAGUUGGGUACACCUUCUAUCUCAAAUCCUAGGGCAAAGUGUUUGUUGCUAAAAACGGAGCUUUUCUCGAGAAGGAGUUUCUCUCGAGAGAAUUGAGUGGGAGGAAGAUAGAACUUGAUGAGGUUGUCGAACCUCUCAUCCCUCUGGAUGGUGGCGCAGGGCAAGGGGAAACACCUGUCGUUGCGACGCCGGUUGAGGAGGAAGUUAAUGAUGAUGAUCAUGAAACUCCGGUUCAAGUUCCUAUCGAAACACGCAGGUCGACGAGACCACGUGCUGCUCCAGAGUGGUACGGUAAUCCCGUUUUGUCAAUCAUGUUGUUAGACAACAAUGAACCUGCAAAUUAUGAAGAAGCAAUGGUGGGCCCAGAUUCCAACAAAUGGCUGGAGGCCAUGAAGUCCGAGAUAGGAUCCAUGUAUGAAAACAAAGUGUGGACUUUGGAAGUACUACCUGAGGGCCGCAAGGCUAUUCAGAACAAAUGGAUCUUUAAGAAGAAGACGGACGCUGACGGCAAUGUGACCGUUUAUAAAGCUCGACUUGUGGAAAAAGGUUUUUCACAAGUUCAAGGAGUUGACUACGAUGAGACAUUCUCACCCGUAGCGAUGCUUAAGUCCGUCAGAAUCAUGUUAGUAAUGGCUGCAUUUUUCGAUUAUGAAAUCUGGCAGAUGGAUGUCAAAACGGCGUUCCUUAACGGUUUCCUUAAGGAAGAGUUGUAUAUGAUGCAACCCAAAGGUUUUGUCGAUCCUAAGAAUGCUAACAAGGUGUGCAAGCUCCAGCAAUCCAUUUAUGGACUGGUGCAAGCAUCUCGGAAUUGGAACAAACGCUUUGAUGAGGUGAUCAAAGCAUUUGGGUUUAUACAAUUGGUUGGAGAAUCUUGUAUUCACAAGAAAGUGAGUGGGAGCUCUGUGGCAUUUCCAAUAUUAUAUGUAGAUGACAUAUUGCUGAUUGGAAACUAUGUAGAGUUUUUGGAGAGCAUAAAGGAUUACUUGAAUAAAAGUUUCUCUAUGAAGGACCUAGGAGAAGCUGCUUACAUUCUAGGCAUUAAGAUCUACAGGGAUAGAUCGAAACGCCUGAUAGGACUUUCACAAAGCACAUACCUUGAUAAAGUUUUGAAAAGGUUCAAAAUGGAACUGUCCAAGAAAGGGUUCUUGCUAGUUUUACAAGGUACGAGAUUGAGUAAGACUCAGUGCCCAGCAACUGAUAAAGAUAGAGAGCAUAUGAGCACCGUCCCCUAUGCUUCAGCCAUAGGAUCUAUCAUGUAUGCAAUGAUGUGCACUAGACCGGACGUUAGCCUGGCCAUAAGUAUGGCAGGCAGGUUCCAGAGUAAUCCAGGAGUGGAUCACUGGACGGCGGUCAAGAAUAUCCUGAAGUACCUGAAAAGGACUAAGGAGAUGUUUCUCGUGUAUGGAGGUGACGGAGAGCUCGCCGUAAAGGGUUACGUCGAUGCAAGCUUUGACACAGAUCCGGACGACUCUAAGUCGCACACCGGAUACGUAUUUAUUCUUAAUGGGGGUGCAGUAAGCAGGUGCAGUUCCAAACAAAGCAUCGUAGCUGAUUCUACAUGUGAAGCGGAGUACAUGGGUGCCUCGGAGGCGGCUAAGGAGGGUGUCUGGAUGAAGCAGUUCAUGACGGAUCUUGGAGUAGUGCCAAGCACACUGAAUCCAAUAACCUUGUUCUGUGACAACACGGGUGCCAUUGCCUUAGCAAAGGAACAACGGUUUCACAAGAAGACCAGACACAUCAAACGAUGCUUCAACCUCAUCCGCGACUACGUCGAAGGGGAGGACGUAAAUAUAUGCAAAGUGCACACGAAUCUGAAUGUAGCAGAUCCGCUGACUAAACCUCUUCCACGGGCAAAGCAUGAUCAACACCAGAACUGUAUGGGUGUUAGAUUUAUUACAAUGUAAUUCGCAUGAUAAUGUGAGGGCUAGAUUAUUGACUCUAGUGCAAGUGGGAGACUGUUGGAAUUAUGCCCUAGAGGCAAUAAUAAAUAUAGUUAUUAUUAUAAUUCCUGUAUCAAGAUAAUCGCUUAUUAUCCAUGCUAUAAUUGUAUUGAAUGAAGACUUAUAUACAUGUGUGGAUACAUAGACAAAACACUGUCCCUAGCAAGCCUCUAGUUGGCUAGCCAGUUGAUCAAAGAUAGUCAGGGUCUUCUGAUUAUAUACAAGGUGUUGUUGCUUGAUAACUGGAUCACGUCAUUAGAAGAAUCACGUGAUGGACUAGACCCAAACUAAUAGACGUAGCAUGUUGAUCGUGUCAUUUUGUUGCUACUGUUUUCUGCGUGUCAAGUAUUUGUUCCUAUGACCAUGAGAUCAUAUAACUCACUNNNNNNNNNNNNNNNNNNNNNNNNNNNNNNNNNNNNNNNNNNNNNNNNNNNNNNNNNNNNNNNNNNNNNNNNNNNNNNNNNNNNNNNNNNNNNNNNNNNNNNNNNNNUCCGGAAACGAAGAUUGAUAUAUAGGAUGACCUCAUUUGAUUACCGGAAGGUUUUCGAAGUUACCGGGAAUGUACCGGGAAUGACGAAUGGGUUCCGGGAGUUCACCGGGGGGGCAACCCACCCCGGGGAAGCCCAUAGGCCUUGAGGGUGGCGCACCAGCCCUUAGUGGGCUGGUGGGACAGCCCAAAAGGGCCCUAUGCGCAUUGGAAGAAAAAUCAAAGAGAAAAAGAAAAAAAAGGAGGAGGUGGGAAAGGAAAGAAGGACUCCACCCACCAAACCAAGUAGGACUCGGUUUGGGGGGGAGUCCUUCCCCCCUUUGGCUCGGCCGACCCCCUUGGGGCUCCUUGAGCCCCAAGGCAAGGUCCCCCCUCUCCCACCUAUAUAUACGGAGGUUUUAGGGCUGAUUUGAGACGACUUUUCCACGGCAGCCCGACCACAUACCUCCACGGUUUUUCCUCUAGAUCGCGUUUCUGCGGAGCUCGGGCGGAGCCCUGCCGAGAUCAGAUCACCACCAACCUCCGGAGCACCGUCACGCUGCCGGAGAACUCAUCUACCUCUCCGUCUCUCUUGCUGGAUCAAGAAGGCCGAGAUCAUCGUCGAGCUGUACGUGUGCUGAACGUGGAGGUGCCGUCCGUUCGGCACUAGAUCGUGGGACGGAUCGCGGGACGGUUCGCGGGGCGGAUCGAGGGACGUGAGGACGUUCCACUACAUCAACCGCGUUCACUAAUGCUUCUGCUGUGCGAUCUACAAGGGUACGUAGAUCGGAAAUCCCCUCUCUUAGAUGAACAUCACCAUGAUAGGUCUUCGUGUGCGUAGGAAAAUUUUUGUUUCCCAUGCCACGUUCCCCAACAUUACAUGACGUGGUUAGUUUGGUAAAUCUUCAAGAAGAGAUAUGAGGAAAUCAGAAUCUUCAUCUGAGGAUUACAAGAAAAGAACCUGCCACAAAUGCAAGAAAUCAGGUCACUACAUUGCUGAUUGUCCUCGCUGGGGAAAGGAAUCAAAUAAGAAGAAUACAAGGAUGAAAGUUCUGAUGACUCGAAGAAAAAGAAGAAAUCUUCAAAAUCCUCAUCUUCAAAGUCCUCAUCGCACGAGAAGACUAGUUUCAGAAAGGCUGGGGCACUUAUUGGCAAGGAAAUAGAUUCUGAGGCAGAAUCCAAGGAAUGUGAUGAAGAGGAAGGUUCUGAUGAAGACUCGGAAUCCGGACAUGCUAGUCUUGCACUUGCAACCACAUUCGUCAGCAAGUCAAUCUUCAACACUGAAGAAAAUGAUAACACCAUCCACACUCAUGACUAUGCUGAUGACUUCGCUCCAACCUAUUGCUUCAUGGAAAAAGGUUCAAAGGUACCGAAUGAUGCUUCCUCCUCUUAUUCAAGUGACUGUGAACCUGAUGAUUAUAAAAAACCCAGUUACAGUAAACUUGCUAUCAUUGCCACUAAACAACAAACUGCCCUGGAAAAGCUUCAGAAACUCCUAGAUAGAAGCGAUGAUCUGUUGAAUGAUGAAAUGAAUCUUACUCAAAUCCUCACUGAAGAUAUGAAAAGUCUUCAGUAUAGAUUUGAUAAUCUUCAAGAUCGUCAUGUUACACUCCUCGCUGAUCAUGAGAAACUUUCCUAUGAAUUUAUUCAAACGAGGCUUGAUCUAGAGAAGCUGAGGAUUUCUCAUGAUGAUCUUCGUAUGGAAAAUGAUUCAUUACUAGCUCAACAGAUCAGUGCUGAUCAAGCUGAAUUCAUUCCUCCAUGUCUUAAAUGUAUCGAACGUGAAACUGCUAAUUCUUCACCAGAAUCAUCAAAUGCUUCAAUUGCUACAAAUUCUUCAACUGCUCCUGUAGUGUCAAAUUCCUCACUUGAAGAAAACACAAAUGUUACUGAUGAAAAUGCAGGGCUGAAGGAAUUGUAUGUGAUAGGCAUAUACAAAAGUCUCAAAGGACAUCAAACCCUUAGUGAUGUGCUCAAAAAGCAGAUCUUGAACAGGAACCCGAGGAAAGAAGGAAUUGCCUUUGAGAGGAAAUUGAAUGCUGAUGGAUCUUAUUGGAAACCUGAGUAGUAUCCCAAAACCUCAUGGGUUGCUGCUACUGGGCCUCCUUUUGAUCCAUCCAAUCUAACAGGAUUUUCAUGUGAAUUAUCCUAUUCCUCAGAUGAGUCAUUUGACUCCAACUAUAAACUGUUCAAAAAUCAAUCUGGUGAAGUAUUUGCUCGAUAUGUUGGAACUAACUGCAGGAAUGGCCCUCUCCUGAGGAAAAUCUGGGUUCCCAAAAGUUGCCUUGUAAAUCUUCAGGUGAAUGUCCUCAUGACUCCACCUAUGAAGAAUUUGAACCCCAGAUCAAAUUCCUCAGGAGGACCAAAGUCUUCAAGAGGAUCAAAAUCCUCAACUGGUCAAAACUAUGCUCGGACCCGUGCUAAUGCUUCUAACAUGGAGGGAAAUUACAAGGAAUAUGAAUAUGAGCGUUAUUCUUCAAAUCAUUAUGUUCAUAAAUCCUCAAAUAAAUUCUCUGCAUAUUCAUUUGAGUACUCUAACCCCCUACUGUUAGAAGAAGUGCAUUAGCUUCAAUGCCCCCCUUCUCAUAUGGUGCUCGCAGGAUGAUGAAUGCUUUACCACCCCUUCAUAUAUGGGUGGUGAAGAAAUUGAACUAAUCACUUCUGCAGGUCAGGUCUCCAGAUGAAAAUCAUCAUCUGAAGAAUUUGCUGGAGACCUGAGGAAAAUGCUAGAUAGGACGCAAGCUAAUAUUGAUGAAAUAGAAAUAUUUCACACGUCCUUAUAAUUUUGUUUAUGAUGAAAUUCCUAUUUGAUGAAAUUGAUAUCAUAUUCUUCAAGUCUGAAGCAUAUGAGAUAUAAGUUGUACUAAUUCAUCUGCAGCAUGACAAACCCAAGAGUACUGAGUGGGUUCUUGAUAGUGGCUGCACACACCACAUGACUGGUGACAAAAGCUUGCUGAUGAAUAUGCCACUAACUCCAUCACCCCUGAAGCAAAUCACAUAUGCUGACAAAGGUAAAAGCAAGGUAUUGGGACUUGGUAAAGUGGCUAUUUCCAAGGAUAGGCACAUGGACAAAGUGAUGCUUGUUGAAUCCCUUGGAUUUAACCUCAUGUCAGUCUCGAUGCUUUGUGAUCUUGAUAUGAUUGUUAUCUUUGGUAGAUAUAGAUGUGUUAUCAUCAUGGAAUCUGACAGAUCCAAAGUCUUCAAAGGUGUUAGAAGAGGGGAUUUGUACAUUGUUGAUUUCACUACAGGUCCUCAACCAGCCACUUGCCUACUAGCAAAAACCUCAGAAGGGUGGUUGUGGCAUCGAAGACUUGGUCAUCCAGGCAUGAGGAAUUUGCGCACGCUCGCAAAGAAGAAGCAUGUCAUCGGCAUCAAAUCAGUCAAAUUCCUCAAGGACCAUCUCUGCGGUGCUUGUGAGUCUGGGAAAAUGACCAGAUCCAAGCACCCCUCGAAGACUAUCAUGACCACUACUCGUCCAUUUGAAUUGCUUCACAUGGAUCUAUUUGGACCUACUCAUUAUGCCACACUAACAAAUGCAACAUCUUUAUAUGGCUUUGUCAUAGUUGAUGAUUAUUCCAGAUACACAUGGGUGCAUAUAAUUUUAUAUAAAACUGAAGUGCAGGAAGUCUUCAAACGAUUUUCCUCAAGGGCCUCGACGAACUUCGGCGUCAAGAUCAAACACAUCAGGAGUGAUAAUGGAACAGAUUUCAAAAACACUGGUCUUGAUAAUUAUCUUGAUGAACUUGGUAUUACUCAGAAUUGUCUGCUCCUUAUACUCCUCAACAGAAUGGUGUCGUCGAAAGGAAGAACAGGACUAUGGUUGAGAUGGAAAGAACCAUGCUUGAAGAAUAUCAGACUCCUCGUCACUUUUGGCAUGAAGCAAUCAACACUGCGUGCCAUAUCAUCAACAGUGUAUAUAUUCACAAAUUCCUCAGGAAAACCUCAUAUGAACUCCUCACUGACAAGAAACCCAAUGUAAGUUAUUUCAAAGUCUUCGGUGCAAAAUGUUGGAUUAGAGAUCCUCACGAUAGCUCAAAAUUUGCACCUAAGGCACAUGAGGGUUUUAUGCUCGGUUAUGGAAAGGACUCGCACACCUACAGAGUCUUCAACAACUAUCACAACAAGGUUGUUGAGACUGUAUAUGUGCGGUUCGAUGAAACUAAUGGCUCGCAAAGAGAGCAAUUGCCUCCUGAUCCAGAUAAGUUGUCUCCUGAGGAAGCAAUAAAGCUCAAAGCUACUGAAGACAUUGUUCCCACUGAGGAAAUUGAUGAAGAAAUCAUUCCCAGCACUGAUGAAAAUCAAAAAAAUGCUCCUGAGGAAAUUGCUCCAGAACCAAUUUCUCAGCCCAGACGAAAUCCUCAACCACCUCAUCCGAGGAUUGCAAAUGAAGUGGAACUUGACAAAAUCCUCAAUGACAUCAAUGCGCCAGGUCCUCUCACUCGCUCAAAAGCUUCACACUUAGUUAACUUUUGUGGGCAUUUCUCCUUUGUGUCUAUCAUAGAACCUUCAAAAGUUGCUGAGGCUUUCAUGGAACCGGAGUGGAUCCAAGCCAUGCAAGACGAACUUCUUCAGUUCAAGCUGAAUGAUGUAUGGGAGCUCGUCAAACGACCAGAUCCUCGCAAGCACAAUAUCAUCGGAACCAAGUGGAUUUUCCGAAACAAGCAAGACGAGAAUGGUCAAGUGGUGAGGAAUAAGGCGCGACUUGUAGCCCAAGGCUACACACAAGUUGAAGGAAUAGAUUUUGAUGAAACUUUUGCACCUGUUGCUAGACUUGAAGCUAUUCGAAUCCUACUUGCUUGUGCUAAUCAUCAUAACAUCAUCUUAUAUCAAAUGGAUGUGAAAAGUCCAUUCCUCAAUGGUAAGAUUGAGGAAGAAGUAUAUGUUUCUCAGCCCCAGGUUUUGAGGAUCCAAAGAAUCGAGACAAAGUCUUCAGACUUAAAAAGGCGCUCUAUGGUCUCAACCAAGCCCCUCGGGCAUGGUAUGAUACAUUGAAGGAGUUCCUCAUGAAGAAAGGCUUCAAACCUGGUUCACUCGAUCCAACUCUUUUCACUAAAUCCUAUGAUAAUGAACUAUUUGUGUGCGAGAUAUAUGUCGAUGACAUCAUAUUUGGUUGUACUGACAAACGUUACAUUGAUGAAUUUGCUUACCUCAUGAGUGAAGAAUAUCAUAUGUCUAUGAUGGGGGAGCUGAAAUUCUUCUCAGGUCUUCAAAUUCGUCAACAACGCAAUGGAAUCUUCAUAUCACACGAGAAAUACCUCAAGGAUGUUCUGAGAAAAUUCGACAUGCAUGAAUGCAAAGGUGCCAAGACUCCAAUGCCUACUAACAGCCACCUCUGCACUUACGAAAAUGGUAAAGAAUUCGAUCAACGGGUAUAUCGCUCUAUGAUUGGCUCUUUACUUUAUUUAUGUGCAUCUAGGCCACAUAUAAUGCUUAGUGUUUGCAUGUGUGCAUGUUUUCAAGCAAAACCUUAGGAAUCACACCAUCAGGCUGUGAAGCAUAUUCUUCGAUACUUAGCUCACACACCAACACUAGGAUUAUGGUACCCCAAGGGCUCAAAUCUUCAUCUUGUGGGAUAUUCUGAUUCUGACUAUGCUGGUGACCGUGUGGAUCACAAGUCAACCUCUAGCACAUGUCAUUUCCACGGAAGAUCACUAGUCUGCUGGCCCUCAAAGAAGCAGAACUGUGUUUCACUCUCCACUGCCGAAGAUGAGUACAUUGCUGUUGGUUCAUGUUGUGCUCAAUUGCUAUGGAUGAAGCAAACCCUCAAGGACUACGGCAUUAACGUGAAGUAUGUGCCUCUCUACUGCGACAAUGAGAGUGCAGUAAAGAUUGCAUACAACCCAGUACAGCACUCGAAGACUAAGCACAUCCAGAUUCGUCAUCAUUUUCUUAAUGACCAUGUCCUCAAGGGCAAUAUCCUCAUAGACCAUGUGAAGACUGACGAUCAACUGGCAGAUAUCUUCACUAAGCCCUUGGAUGAGAAAAGGUUUUGCAAAUUGCGGUGUGAGCUAAAUAUCUUAGAAUCUUCAAAUGUUUUGUAAAAACAUGCACACAUCCUAACACUUAUGCAAAAUUGAUGACUUAGAUGUGCAACACACGAUGAAUCGAUUUUCUUCAACCAAUGAAGAAUAUCACUCUUAGUGUGAGGAAAUCAACAAAAAAUUGAUUCUCACGGCCCUACGACAAUUGUACGUGGCGUCUGUAAUCAACAUUCUUAUAUGGUGGGUCACGCCACCACCCAACUUGAAAUUCCUCAAGUUGAAUUUCUUCAAAAGACGAUUUUCUUCAAAACAGUUGUUCUUCAAACUUGUUUUUCUUCAAAAUUGAAAUUCAUCAUCAUGACGCUUUGUCACAAAAUCCUCAAGUUAAUCAAAAUUCUUCAAAAACACUUGAUGAUUUUCGCUUACCUAGAUAGGCUGUGAUUUCAAGUCCUCAACAACAUUCACUUAUAGCUAUUUCUUCAAUUUGAUAUUUCAUCUAAGUGAAUGUGAUCGGACCCUACUUUCCCUCUAUGCUACUCUCACCCAGUCUAUUCAAUUCUUCAUAUGUGUUCUACUUGAAACUUUGUUCGAAAUCCUCACUGCGUCCUUGUCAGCUAAUGAUUUUGUAACAAAAUCCUCAAAUCUUCAAAAUUAUAUUUUUUUAUUGUUACACAGUAACUGAACCCCACUUUCCUCGUUCGGAUAACCACGAUCUCCACCGCUUCGGUUGUGGGCUACACGUGUCCUGCGGAGACGUAGAGACACGGGCUAUUUGGUCCGAUAUUUUUGCGCCAACAGUUACCGCCUGGCUAUAAAUAUGUCCCCAUCUCCCUUAGGUAAAAUCUUCUUCGUCCCAUCGCCCUCCUGCUACAGCAAAGCUCAAAAGCCCUAGCGCCACUGCUAGAAGUCUCGACACCGGCGAAGAAGAGCUUGGCUGCCUCGACCUCUCCGUCGCCAAAACCACGCCGGAAUCGGACCAUCUUCGUCCGCCGCCGCCGUAGCUGUCCUCUGUUGCCAAGUUAGGGCGCAUUGGACUCGCAACGAAGAGCAUCUACUGCUACUCACUUCUCUGUUCUUCGUGCGCGCCAUCUAGGGUAAAUAAAAACCCUAUUUUUACUGCUCGUUUGAUCUACUAUUUUACCUUGGAGAUGUGAAAUCUGUUUUUCCUAAUGUAUCCAUCAGUUUCUUUUUCCUCAAACACUGCCUAUCACCCAAUUAUUGAUGAACUUCACUAAGCAUCUAAGAUUUUCACGAGAUUCCUCAAUUGUGCAAAUUUUUGAAUCUGUACAACUCUGGAACCCAAGAACGGUGUGCUUAGACGAAUUCCUCAACCACUGGUCAAAUUCCUCAACUUUCAAAAAAAUCCAUUUCAUCAAAUCUGAGAACGCAUAUGACCUCUCCAAAUUCCUCGCAACUAUACUUUGUUCACAGGUACAAACAUGUGAGCUGAUGAAUCUCUAGGUUCUCAUCAACUUAACUCAUUUGCAGCGUUUCUUCAAGAAAAUCUGCAAGUUUCAUCAGAAUCCUCAAGAGCUCAAUUUCCUCAGCAAAAGCCUCAGCUGAAGAAAAUGGAAGAUGAAAGGAAGCAAAAGGGUGGCAAGAAGCUCGAGCAGAACACUGCCAUAGAUAUCCCUGAGGAUAUAUACCUGGAAUACUGCACUCCUGAUGAACAAGAAUCUAUGCCCAAGAGAAAGAUAAGGUUUCAAAAGAUAGAACACCGAUGGGCUAAGGAGUGGCAAGAGUAUAGAUUCAUCACUCCUAAGUAUGCGAAGAAAUUCGCUCUGAAGCCUCCUGGCAAACGGCCUCCUCUUGAGGAUUAUCAGGAUGCACACCCCUCAAGCCUCAAGACAAUUGAUGACUAUCCCGAGGAAAAGUAAAAACACUUGUCAAAGCUUCAGAAGCAAGUAGAAGUUGCUGUGAGGAAGUUCAAUGAAGAAUCUGCUGCUGCUGCAACUGUCGCCACUUCCUCUGCAGCUGAGACUUCUGGUACGGCCAUUCCUCAAAUGAAGUAUGUACCACCAAAACCAAAGGCUUCAAAGCCUCAAGACAAAAUGCCUCAGAAAGCUGCACCAACAUCAGCACCAAAACCCUCAGCACCACCAAAGGCUUCAAAGCCUGAACAGAAGCCGAUAGUGAAGCAACUGCCCACUGUCUCCAGCUCCUCAGUCCCGUCUGCAACAUGCUCGAAGAAAAUGUCGGGACCCCGAUCCUAAGCCAUAGGAAUCCAGCAUGUAACACAUCGCAUCCCUUUGCGGUCUCACGCACGGUUAACUCCACGGCUGCGGCCUUACCUUAGCCGGUACCGUUUGCGUCUUUUGACUCACGUAUGCAAUAGUGUCGCUAGCAUUCCAAUGUCAAAGAACCCGGAUCGACAUGUCUAGUCAUAAACCAAAGUGGCAGUACCGCACAAGGACAGGCAUACAUGACCCAACAAAGCAGGUGUCGGUCACUAGCAAAGUGUAGACGAGUCGUAGCAAGCUACAAGGACUCCAUUACAUCGCGUGACAUUUCCCCAAAGGGGACAGACACAGCAGCUAAGAAGGACACAUGCCGAUCAACCAAUGUGUCCGGAGCAGUAGCGAACUACCAUGGCUCGUUGGAUCACAAAGGGGCAUUUCCUUGUGAGUAGUGCUACUAAAGUUCACGACUAGUUAAUCGAACCCCAUACAUAUCAAGUACGACACACGUACGCAUGGCAUACCGAUAUGUAUAGAUACAUCGAUGGAAUCACAACAUAACCAUAAACAUACAAGUUUUAUUUAAGAGGCUCGGAAGAGCCACACACAUAAUAUUACACAUUAAGGGUCUCACGACCCAUAAUAGCAGUCAUUCAGUUACAAGCCAGCCGAAGAGUUUAAAACUGUCUGAGUACAGACAGGUGCAACUAAAGGGGCACAUGGCCUGACUAUACUACAGAUCCAACGUAGGGCCAGAUCGUAGCUGGGACACCAGCUACUCGUCGUCGUCGAUGUCUAUGAAGAACCCUCCAUUAGGGUCAUUAGCAACCUCUGCAACAUUUAUUAAGCAAACAUGAGUACGAAGGUACUUAGCAAGACUUUAGGAUAACUAUCUACUCAUGCGGAAAGCCAGCAUUUGACUCGUGGCUAGACAUCUUGCAUUUUUAAAUAGAUUUGACAACUUGAUUUCUCGCACACGAGUCCACUAACACCACAAUAAUACACCAUCGUGGAAUCAUUCCGUCUCCAUACGGAAAUGUCGUCCACGACACUCACGCUUAUCUUGACAAUUUUAUGAGUAGCCAUUGAAGUUAUCUAUGAACAACAUAUGUCUCCAAGUAGUCCAUAUCCGCGGACGCGGCUAUUAGAAUAGAUCAUAACCCUGCAGGGGUGUACUUCGUCGCACACGCUCUCGCCACUUAUCGCCAUGUGCACGUCAUGCACCUCGGCAACCUUCAAGCGGAAGCCCAGCGAGGGAGUCGGGCACGACCGUUAACCACACUAGUACCUAGUCCAGGUUUAUCGCCUAUCUGAGAGUAACCCGUACGGAAGUCCGGCUGAGGUUUCCGCCACGGCCACAAACGAUGUGCGCAGGGUUCCCAAGCCCACCAUCCGGGCGCCACUUGGUACACCGUGCCACUGCCUACCGCAUCACGGCCCACCUCUCAGGUCAGCACCAUGCACGGCCUCCAGCAUUACUAUAAACACCAGAAACUACUUGCAACUGCUGGACCGAGUACUAAGCGAUUAAUAAGCCGAGCGGGGUCAUAUUUCAGGGCCCAGCAUGUGGUAGUAUCUAGUCUUGGAUUACAUACAUGGAACUCAGUUCCUAAGGACGGUUCCAAUGAAACAACCCGCCAUGUACUCCUACACAGCCUUUCACCGGUACCUUUACCAAAUUAGAUUCAACACACAACCUUUGCUUACCGAACGCAUUCUCACAAUUCUGCUCAUCUCCCAGAUGACAGACCAUACACAACUCUAAGCAUAGCAUGCAUAGCAGGAUAAGGCACAUCAUGGCUCAAGCAACUACCAGGUAUGCUAGGUUGCAAGGUUCGGCUAUUUACUGUGACAAGGAUAGGUCAUGCAAAGGAAGUGGGUUCAACUAACGUGGCAAAAGCAGUUGAAGCAUUUGAUCCUAAUGCAAUAAACAAGUGCAGGAGCAAGAACAUGGGAUUUAUCGGGAUGAUCAAAAUGGUUGCUUGCCUUGUUGCUCGGAGGAGGGACAAUAUCCGUCAGACGGAUAUUAGGUGGAAUCCGGGGGUGCGGAGCCUACCGAAAUGAAUGGCAACAAUCAAUAACAAUCAUAUGCAAAUAAGAUGAUGCAUGAGCAUGGAAUGAGAAUGCAAGGUGAUAUACUAAUAUAAUCAACAUGUAUUAGGUUUGAAGUUGAUUUGAAUUAAAUUCAAAUAUCACCUCAAAUGAGGUAUUCUCGGAUACCGAUUUAAUUGAUUCGACCUGAUGCUGAGAUCAACUUGAUGUUAACAUGCAUGGGAUGUCAUGUUAAGUUGUUGGUUUGUUAUUAGAACAAUGUUUGAUCAUGUCAAACAAAAAGAAAUUUAAAUUCUUCCAUAUUCCAUUUAUAAAGUAUUUAUAAGAAUUGACUUAUUCAUUAAUCUACAUGUUUGGGUUCUGUAACUUUUUCAAACAUGAUUGAAAAUAGCAUAUUCAGAUUCCUUGAAUUUUUCUGAUACUUUUUCAUAUAUAAAUUAUUUUCAUUGGAGUUACAGAUUAAUUUCUAUUAAUUUUUGAAGUUUUAAACAUUUCUGGAAUUAUUUUUAUACUGGAAAAUACUUUUACUGCAUCAGCAUGACAUCAGCAGGUCCAGCUGGCCGUUGAAAGUCAAACCUGACCAAUGGGACCCACUGGUCAGUGUCUCUGGUCAGUUUUAGAUUAUAAUUAAACCUAAUUAGCUGAUUAAUCCUACUGGACCCACAUGUCAGUGUCUCAUUAACUUAUCUGGCUUAUUUUUAUUAUUUCUAAACUGUCCAGAGGCUGGCCCCACUCGUCAGUGGCUCAGGCCAGCUGAGAUCCACCGGCGGCGAGGUCGUCCUCGCCGGCGGGGAGCCUCCGGCGACCACCAGAACGUCGGGGGGCUCGGAAAUGGCGCACAGAGGGCCAAACUCGGCGCGAAGAGCACCAGAGGAACGGCCACUCGAUGGCGCGCACGAUGGGACAAGCCCCAGGGGCUGGGGUGGCCGGAAUCAACGCCGGCGACGAGCUUGGCGGCGACCAAGUUCGGCCAUCGUCGAAGCCAUCGAAUACGGGGUCAAAACGCGCGGGGCUGGGCACCUAGCGCAUCUACAUGAUGUCCUGAGGCUGUUGGUGGCCUCAGAUGGACCAACCCGUCACCAGAGGGCUACCGGCGACGAGCUGCAGCGGCGGUCCUCGUCGGGCUCCGAUGGAACUAAUACUAGAGGAGGGGAUCGAUGGGGAGAGCUUAGGGGAAAUUACCGCAUGCUGACGGGGAGUGCAGUGGUGGCGCUAGUUUGCUCGGGGACGACCUGGAGAGGGAGAACGUCGGCGGCGUUCUUCGGUGACCCGAGGAAGAAGAUGACAGCUGCUCGUCGUUUCACUGCAUCUCAGCGUCGGGCUCGGGGCUAGGAAGCUUCAGGGAGGUGCGGCGGACCUACUGCGUGGCUCAGGAGGGAGAAGGGUCGGCUAGAUCGACGGCGAGCUCGAGCUCUGCUCGGGCUCCAAUGGCGGCAGAAGGAGGGAGGAGAGAUCCGAGAGGAGGGGGGAACUGGCGCUGGGAAUGGAUAGCCACGGGCUCAGGGAGCUUAUCCCCGGGCUUGCCAGCGCGAGACGGCGGCCAGGCAGACGCACAGGUGCGUGGCCGCGCCAGAGUACGCGGCGGCCACCUCCUGCUGCCCACUCGCGGGGGAGGAAGACGACAGGAAUUGCUGGGCCGGGCCAGGUUAGGCGACGGGUAAGGAUUUUUCAUUUUCUUUCUGUUUUUGUUUCUGUUUUGCUAUUUCACUGAUUUUCUAAUUAUUUCAACUCCCAAAUAAAUUGAAAAAAAUAUGUUGAGCACCCUAGAAUAUUUAUUGGAAUAUUUCCAACCAUUCCUAAAGUUUUCAACAUUUUUGAAAGUUUAAAAAAUUUUGAUUUCAAAUUUAAAACUUGAAACGAGUAGCUUUUUGCAUUUAUUUAAAAUGCUUAAAGUGUCAAGAAAAUGGUUUUCUUCAUUGCUCAUUUACUUUCAUGAUUUAUCAGAAAGUUUGAACUUUUCUUGAGGCCAUUUUGGGUUCAUUGAUUUUAGCUAGUUUGAAAUUUUCCCUCACUUUUAAGAAGUGGCUAGGGUUUUAGCAUUUUCCUUCAUCAUUUGCUUUGUUCUUGUUGAGAAUUUCAUAGAUGCAAUGCAAAGAAGACAUGAGCACAAGCUAACUUGCUUAAGGUGUCAGGGAUGUGACAACUCACCCCCACUCAAAGGAAUCUCGUCCCGAGAUUUAGAAGUCGUCGGGAAUAACGCAGGAUACUCAAGUCGGAGACGAUCCUCUCUUUCCCAAGUUGCCUCCUUUUCAGAAUGAUUUGACCAUUGAACUUUAAGAAACUUGAGGUUUCGACGUCGAGUGGUACGCUCAGCUUGAUCAAGAAUACGCACCGGGUAUUCUCGGUAUGAAAGGUUAUCUUGGAGAUCAAGCGUUUCGUGGUCCACUUCACGGAUAGGAUCCGAAAAGCAACGCCUGAGUUGCGAGACGUGGAAGACAUCAUGAACCUUGAAAAGAUGCGGAGGAAGUUCCAACUGGUAGGCAACUUCUCCUCGUUUGGCAAGAAUGCAAAAAGGAGCAAUGUAACGAGGAGCCAACUUGCCCUUGAUACCGAAUCGAUGGGUACCCUUUAAAGGUGUAACCCGAAGGUAAGCCUUCUCGUCAACUUCAAAGGUCACAGCCUUAUGAUGACAAUCAUACUGGCUCUUUUGACGAGACUGGGCUGUUUUCAACUUUUCACGAAUAAUGCGAACCUGCUCUUCUGCAUCCUGGAUCAUAUCCGGGCCAAAGAGUUGCCUCUCUCCGGUUUCUGACCAAUUAAGAGGUGUUCGACAUCUUCGUCCAUAGAGAACUUCAAAAGGAGCUUUGCCCAAGCUUGAUUGAUAACUAUUGUUAUAAGCGAAUUCAGCGAAUGGAAGGCACUUCUCCCAAUUCAUACCGAACGAUAUAACACAAGCUCGGAGCAUAUCUUCUAGGAUUUGAUUCACUCUUUCUACUUGACCACUUGAUUGAGGAUGGAAAGCAGUGCUAAAAGAUAAGUGAGUCCCCAUGGCAUUCUGAAAACUUUCCCAGAAGCGAGAAGUAAAGAUACUUCCAUGGUCCGAGUUAAUCUCCAGGGGAACACCAUGAAGAGACACUAUUCGGGAGAUAUAUAACUCUGCUAGCUGGCUAGCUGUUAUACUCUCACGAACGGGAAGAAAAUGAGCCACUUUGGAAAGACGGUCAAUGACCACAAAGAUAGCAUUAUUCCCUUUCUUGGUCUUGGGAAAUCCGGUAAUGAAAUCCAUGCUAACUUUAUCCCAUUUCCAUUCAAGAAUAGCUAGAGGUUGAAGGGUUCCAGCAGGCCUUUGAUGUUCUGCCUUAACUCGACGACAAACGUUGCAGUUUGCAACGAACUCAGCAAUUUCUCUCUUCAUCCUAGUCCACCAGAACCUCUGACGUAGGUCCUGAUACAUCUUAGUACUACCGGGAUGAAUGGUGAGAGGAGAAUCAUGAGCCUCCUUAAGGAUUAACUGCCUUAGAUGUGGGUUCUUAGGAACCACUAGACGAUUCUGGAAGAACACAACACCUUCAUCGUUCAUGGAAAAUUCUUUAGCAUUUCCGCUAAAAAUAUUCUCCUUGAUCCGUGAUAUACCCUUGUCACGCUUUUGGCCAGCUAUAAUUUGAUCCUUAAGAGUAGGCUUCGCCACCAGGGUAGAAAAGAAUCCUUGAGGAACAAUAUGAAGAUUCAACUUCCGAAAGUCCUCAUGGAGAUGUGGUUGACCUUGUUGUAGCAUCAAAUUGUUACAAUAAGAUUUACGACUUAGUGCAUCGGCCAUAACAUUGGCCUUCCCCGGGUGUAAGUUAUCCCUAAGUCGUAAUCCGAGAUCAACUCAACCCACCGUCUUUGCCUGAGAUUCAAAUCCGGCUGGGUGAAGAUAUAUUUCAGACUUUGGUGAUCAGUGAAUAUUUCGCAACGAUUACCCAGAAGGUAAUGUCGCAAGUUUUUAGUGCAUGGACCACAGCUGCAAGCUCAAGGUCAUGUGUGGGAUAAUUAUCCUCAUGUGGACGCAACUGUCGAGAUGCGUAUGCGAUCACAUGACGAUCUUGCAUGAGAAUGCAACCUAAUCCUUGUCGCGAGGCGUCGCAAUAGAUAACCAAGUCCUUAGAAAAAUCUGGUGGUAGCAACACAGGUGCGGAAGUCACGCGUCUUUUCAGUUCCUGAAAACUAUGCUCACACUGUGGUGUCCACUCGAACUUUUUAUCCUUCUUGAGGAGUUCAGUUAGAGGCUUUGCAACCUUGGAGAAAUUCUCGACAAAGCGGCGACAAUAGCUCGCUAGACCAAGAAAACUCCUAACUUGCUUAACCGAUUCUGGUUGAGUCCAAUCAAGGACAGCUUGAACUCUCUCGGGAUUGACAGCAAUACCCUUACUAGAGAUUACGUGUCCUAGAUAGGUCACUUCUGGUAACCAGAAUUCACAUUUUGAAAACUUGGCAUAAAGGCGAUGCUCUCGAAGUUUCAUCAAUACUAGCCUUAGAUGCUCGGCAUGUUCUUGUUCGUUCUUCGAGUAGAUGAGAAUAUCAUCGAGGUAUACCAUGACGAAUUUAUCCAAAUACUCCAUGAAGAUUGAAUUCAUCAGACGAGAGAAGGUGGCUGGGGCAUUGGUUAAACCGAAAGACAUGACGGUGUACUCGUAUUGGCCAUAACGAGUAACAAAAGCCGUUUUUGGAAUGUCCCCGUUCUUGAUCUUGAUUUGAUGGUUUCCCAACCUCAAAUCCAUUUUGGAGAAGACUGAGGAUCCAGCGAGCUGAUCGUACAGAUCGUUGAUCCUGGGGAGCGGAUACUUGUUCUUUAUGGUGACCAGAUUAACUGGUCGGUAAUCUACAACCAUCCGAUCCGUUCCGUCUUUCUUCUUGACGAAGAGGACGGGGCAAGCCCAAGGAGAAGAGCUAGGAUGAAUGAAACCUUUGUUCAAGGCCUCAUCUAAUUGCUUCUUAAGUUCGGCUAGCUCCAGGGGUGCCAUCUUAUAAGGUCUUCUGGCUAUUGGGACAGUUCCCGGAACAAGAUCUAUCACAAACUCUACAUCUCUGUCAGGUGGAAUUCCUGGCAGUUCCUCUGGAAAAACAUCCGGAAAGUCACGGACUACCGGAAUAUCUUCAAGUUCCGGAAGAGGGUUGGCAUUUAGGGAAUAGAGUUGGCAUUUGGCAACUCGAGUAGAGACAUUUACUAUCUCCCCCGAGGGAUGGGUAAGCUGGACAUUUCUAGAAUGGGUAUCAAUCUUGGCAUAGUGAGCUGACAUCCAGUCCAUGCCCAAGAUGACAUUAAUAUCAGAAGAUUUCAAUGCUAUCAAUGAGGCUAGAAAAACUAGUCUGUCUACUAGAAUUUCAUUGUCAUAGGUUAUCCUAGAGGUUUACCAUUUACUACCAGGAGUUUGGACAACCAAUGGAAUUGGCAUAUCACAAAAAGACAUGUUAUGCAACUGUGCAUAACUUUCUGAAAUGAAGGAAUGAGAAGACCCAGUGUCAAAGAGAACGGACGCUGGAUGAUGAUUAACAAGAAGCGUACCCAGCAUGACAUCGGGAUCCUCUGCAGCUUCUUCUGCUGACACAUAGUUCACACGGCCACGUGCAGGAGUUGGCUUCACAUAGUAAGCUUUGCCCGACUUGGCUUGCCCGACGGACUUUCUGGGUUGCUUGGCACCCACAUUCUGAGGACACUCACGAGAAUAGUGCCCGGGUUCUCCACACUUGUAGCAUAUCACUUGGUUCGCACGUGGUGCAGCAUUGCUAGCUGGACCACCAUAAGCUUUUGCUGGAGGGUUGGCCUGAUUCGUCUAAGGCGCCACGUAGGAUGGCCUCGGAGUGUAUCUUGGCGGCAGAGAACUGUUCGGAACCCACAGCCUGCAUUUUGGAAACGCGGAACCAGAAGACGAGCCGAAGUCAUGGGAGUGCUUCCUUGUGGCUUCGAAGUCAGUGUGACCAGUCUCGGCACUGAUCGCUUUGUUGACCAGAGCCUGAAAGCUUGAACACUCGUGAAGGCGCAGAUCACGACGAAGCUCAGGGCUCAGACCCUUACGGAACCUUGCUUGCUUCUUGGCGUCAGUAGACACCUCCUCUGUUGCAUAGCGGGCGAGGUUACCGAACUCGCGGCUAUAAGCAUCCACAGACAACUUGCCCUGAGUGAAGGCACAUAACUCCUCUCUCUUUCUGUCCAUCAGGCCCUCUGGAAUAUGGUGCACACGAAAGGUUGCACUGAAGUCUGCCCAUGUGGCUACUGGUUCAGCAGGACGCAUAGCUUCAAAGUUCUACCACCACAGAUUGGCGGGUCCUUCCAGGAAAUACGCCGCAAAGGUCACCUUGUCGGCCUCAGACACAUUCGCAGAGCGAAUCUUGCGUGAGAUGCUGCACAGCCAGUCAUCAGCGUAGAGGGGAUCGAUGGAAUGAUGAAACUUUGGAGGAUUCAACUUCACAAAGUCGUUGAGGGACACUACAGCAUUCCUAGGCUGACGAGCCGUAUUCUGCUCAAUACGCUCUAACAUUCGGUUGGUCUCCCUUUUAUUUCUCUCUGCCUCAAGCAUCACUUCCGCCAGAGAGGGCGGGUGAGGCAGGUCUUCCUGCGACGCUUGACUACCCUCGCCUUGCUCAUGACCAGGGGCACGGUUCAACCUGGUGAACACCAUCCUGACAAACCAACUCACAGCUUAGACCAAUAUCAUAUCAAUACUAGCUAUGGAUUAAGAAUGUACUGAACACACUGAAUGCGGAAAUGAAUAUCCAAACAGCAUGGUAACAAGCAACUGCUAUAUAUACACCAUGGUUCAUACACACCCUUACAUAGUUCAGUACAACCUUAACCGAAGAGCAAACUACUGAAAUUAUGAAACUACCCAUCAGAGGCUUACAAGCUUCCUAUACAUUAUUUAUCUAGGCCUCCGGAAUUCAUUUCACAUUACAGGCAUACUUCACAAGUCACGCAGGACUGUGAACGUACGGCUACUACCAUACUAUCCUUCCGCUCACAGCUCAGGCAUCCGCAUAGAACAUCUCAUAGAGAUUACCUCCAUGACCUGGAAGCUCAACCUGCGGAUCAGGAAACACUCUAGCCUGAGAUCCCUGGGAUCCGUAAGGACAAGGAUGUGGCCUUGGUCCCCUGACUGGUGGUAAGAGGGGCCCCCGAAGAGGUGUGACUCCUCCUAUAGCUGGCCAGUCAACGUGAGCCGGAAGAUGGGUCCUAACAGGGUUCAACAUCUCCAUAUCUUCGUACCCUGUCUGGACUACCGGUGCCAGCUGCGUCAAAGCCGUCCACAGACGGGCACGGGUAGCAUAAAGCUCCAUGCGGAGAGCACGAGCAUCCCUGUCUCUGUUCUCUAGCAUCUCAAUAGUGGAUUGCAGUAGUGGAUUCUCCAUAGAAGAAUCAAAAUAGACUCCACUGAGGUAUCCCUCUUCACCAGGCUGAGAGGCUGGAACAUAGCAGAACUCUGAAUUCUACAGCAGUGCAUGUCUCGCUCUCAUAAUGGUCAACAUUGAAUAGGAAGCAUCUUGUACUACCAUGUCAACAGUGACCCCCAACCCCAUAGGACCAAUGGAUUGGCUUCUCAGCUCCAGGGUAGUCUAGAAAUACCCUAACAGUGCAGAUGUACUAGCUCUGGUUGAAGUCUCGGUACUGUUCCUCCACUGUGUACUCGGGGUACCAGCGGUAACCGCACACCGACAUCACCCUGACCAGCAUGGCCGUAUGGCCCGGCACAUCAAUGCACCUGGUCAGACGUACCACCUGACAAGAAGGAUGGCCAGGCAUCUGUAAAUAGAGAGUAAUGCAAAAGCAUUAGAGCUCUGAAUGCAAAAUUGGGCAGCAUAACAGCUCUAAAUGCUCAAAAACAAAUUUUAAGACAACCCACAAAUGGAAUAGCGUAACCACUCAACUAUCAAGUUCAACUCUCUGGACAUCAAGCUUACUUCCUUUUUCCUAGGAAUGAAAGAAACCCAAUAUCUCUUGACCCGUAGUCCUAUAAUCUACUGAUCAGAAACACGAGCCUAGAAGAAGAUGAGUAACCUAGUCCUUAAUUCCCGCAGAAAAGACGAGGAUGACCAGAAUAGAAUAACUUGAGAAGAGAACAAGAGUCUUACGUUCCCUUCCACAAACAAUUCCCUUAUAUAUAACUAAAGCAAUUCUAGACUCAACUUCGACCAGUUUGGCUUAGUAAUCCUACAGUCAGUCAGGCUCUGAUACCAACGCUGUCGGGACCCCUAUCCUAAGCCAUAGGAAUCCAGCAUGUAACACAUCGCAUCCCUUUGCGGUCUCACGCACGGUUAACUCCACGGCUGCAGCCUUACCUUAGCCGGGACCGUUUGCGUCUUUUGACUCACGUAUGCAAUAGUGUCGCUAGCAUUCCAAUGUCAAAGAACCCGGAUCGACAUGUCUAGUCAUAAACCAAAGUGGCAGUACCGCAAAAGGACAGGCAUACAUGACCCAACAAAGCAGGUGUCGGUCACCAGCGAGUGUAGACGAGUCGUAGCAAGCUACAAGGACUCCAUUACAUCGCGUGACAUUUCCCCAAAGGGGACAGACACAGCAGCUAAGAAGGACACAUGUCGGUCAACCAAUGUGUCCGGAGCAGUAGCGAACUACCAUGGCUCGUUGGAUCACAAAGGGGCAUUUCCUUGUGAGGAGUGCUACUAAAGUUCACGACUAGGUAAUCGAACCCCAUACAUAUCAAGUACGACACACGUACGCAUGGCAUACCGAUAUGUAUAGAUACAUCGAUGGCAUCACAACAUAACCAUAAACAUACAAGUUUUAUUUAAGAGGCUCGGAAGAGCCACACACAUAAUAUUACACAUUAGGGGUCUCACGACCCAUAAUAGAAGUCAUUUAGUUACAAGCCAGCGGAAGAGUUUAAAACUGUCUGAGUACAGACACGUGCAACUAAAGGGACACAUGGCCUGACUAUACUACAGAUCCAACGUAGGGCCAGAUCGUAGCUGGGACACCAGCUACUUGUCGUCGUCGAUGUCUACGAAGAACCCUCCAUUAGGGUCAUUAGCAACCUCUGCAACAUUUAUUAAGCAAACAUGAGUACGAAGGUACUAAGCAAGACUUUAGGAUAACUAUCUACUCAUGCAAACUAUCAAGAAGGUAUUGUGGGGUUUCAUGCGGAAAGACAGCAUUUGACUCGUGGCUAGACAUCUUGCAUUUUUAAAUAAUUUUGACAACUUGAUUUCUCGCACACGAGUCCACCAACACCACAACAAUACACCAUCGUGGAAUAAUUCCGUCUCCAUACGGAAAUGCCGUCCACGACACUCACGCUUAUCUUGACAAUUUUAUGAGUAGCCAUUGAAGUUAUGUAUGAACAACAUAUGUCUCCAAGUAGUCCAUAUCCGCGGACGCGGCUAUUCGAAUAGAUCAUAACCCUGCAGGGGUGUACUUCGUCACACACGCUCUCGCCACUUAUCGCCAUGUGCACGUCAUGCACCUCGGCAACCUUCAAGCGGAAGCCCAGCGAGGGAGUCGGCCACGACCGUUAACCACACUAGUACCUAGUCUAGGUUUAUCGCCUAUCUGAGAGUAACCCGUACGGAAGUCCGGCCGAGGUUUCCGCCACGGCCUCAAACGAUGUGCGCAGGGUUCCCAAGCCCACCAUCCGGGUGUCACUUGGUACACCGUGCCACUGCCUACCGCAUCACGGCCCACCUCUCAGGUCAGCACCAUGCACGGCCUCCAGCAUUACUAUAAACACCAGAAACUACUUGCAACUGCUGGACCGAGUACUAAGCGAUUAAUAAGCCGAGCGGGGUCAUAUUUCAGGGCCCAGCAUGUGGUAGUAUCUAGUCUUGGAUUACAUACACGGAACUCGGUUCCUAAGGACGGUUCCAAUGAAACAACCCGCCAUGUACUCCUACACAGCCUUUCACCGGUACCUUUACCAAAUCAGAUUCAACACACAACCUUUGCUUACCGAAUGCAUUCUCACAAUUCUGCUCAUCUCCCAGAUGACAGACCAUACACAACUCUAAGCAUAGCAUGCAUAGCAGGAUAAGGCACAUCAUGGCUCAAGCAACUACCAGGUAUGCUAGGUUGCAAGGUUCGGCUAUUUACUGUGACAAGGAUAGGUCAUGCAAAGGAAGUGGGUUCAACUAACGUGGCAAAAGCAGUUGAAGCAUUUGAUCCUAAUGCAAUAAACAAGUGCAGGAGCAAGAACAUGGGAUUUAUCGGGAUGAUCAAAAUGGUUGCUUGCCUUGUUGCUCGGAGGAGGGACAAUAUCCGUCAGACGGAUAUUCGGUGGAAUCCGGGGGUGCGGAGCCUACCGAAAUGAAUGGCAACAAUCAAUAACAAUCAUAUGCAAACAAGAUGAUGCAUGAGCAUGGCAUGAGAAUGCAAGGUGAUAUACUAAUAUAAUCAACAUGUAUUAGGUUUGAAAUUGAUUUGAAUUAAAUUCAAAUAUCACCUCAAAUGGGGUAUUCUCGGAUACCGAUUUAAUUGAUUCGACCUGAUGCUUAGAUCAACUUGAUGUUAACAUGCAUGGGAUUUCAUGUUAAGUUGUUGGUUUGUUAUUAGAACAAUGUUUGAUCAUGUCAAAAAAAAAAGAAAUUUAAAUUCUUCCAUAUUCCAUUUAUAAAGUAUUUAUAAGAAUUGACUUAUUCAUUAAUCUACAUGUUUGGGUUCUGUAACUUUUUCAAACAUGAUUGAAAAUAGCAUAUUCAGAUUCCUUGAAUUUUUCUGAUACUUUUUCAUAUAUAAAUUAUUUUCAUUGGAGUUACAGAUUAAUUUCUAUGAAUUUUUGAAGUUUUAAACAUUUCUGGAAUUAUUUUUAUACUGGAAAAUACUUUUACUGCAUCAGCAUGACAUCAGCAGGCCCAGCUGGCCGUUGAAAGUCAAACCUGACCAGUGGGACCCACUAGUCAGUGUCUCUGGUUAGUUUUAGAUUAUAAUUAAACUUAAUUAGCUGAUUAAUCCUACUGGACCCACAUGUCAGUGUCUUAUUAACUUAUCUGGUUUAUUUUUAUUAUUUCUAAACUGUCCAGAGGCUGGCCCCACUCGUCAGUGGCUCAGGCCAGCUGAGAUCCACCGGCGGCGAGGUCGUCCUCGCCGGCGGGGAGCCUCCGGCGACCACCAGAACGUCGGGGGGCUCGGAAAUGGCGCACAGAGGGCCAAACUCGGCGCGAAGAGCACCAGAGGAACGGCCACUCGAUGGCGCGCACGAUGGGACAAGCCCCAGGGGCUGGGGUGGCCGGAAUCAACGCCGGCGACGAGCUUGGCGGCGACCAAGUUCGGCCAUCGUCGAAGCCAUCGAAUACGGGGUCAAAACGCGCGGGGCUGGGCACCUAGCGCAUCUACAUGAUGUCCUGAGGCUGUUGGUGGCCUCAGAUGGACCAACCCGUCACCAGAGGGCUACCGGCGACGAGCUGCAGCGGCGGUCCUCGUCGGGCUCCGAUGGAACUAAUACUAGAGGAGGGGAUCGAUGGGGAGAGCUUAGGGGAAAUUACCGCAUGCUGACGGGGAGUGCAGUGGUGGCGCUAGUUUGCUCGGGGACGACCUGGAGAGGGAGAACGUCGGCGGCGUUCUUCGGUGACCCGAGGAAGAAGAUGACAGCUGCUCGUCGUUUCACUGCAUCUCAGCGUCGGGCUCGGGGCUAGGAAGCUUCAGGGAGGUGCGGCGGACCUACUGCGUGGCUCAGGAGGGAGAAGGGUCGGCUAGAUCGACGGCGAGCUCGAGCUCUGCUCGGGCUCCAAUGGCGGCAGAAGGAGGGAGGAGAGAUCCGAGAGGAGGGGGGAACUGGCGCUGGGAAUGGAUAGCCACGGGCUCAGGGAGCUUAUCCCCGGGCUUGCCAGCGCGAGACGGCGGCCAGGCAGACGCACAGGUGCGUGGCCGCGCCAGAGUACGCGGCGGCCACCUCCUGCUGCCCACUCGCGGGGGAGGAAGACGACAGGAAUUGCUGGGACGAGCCAGGUUAGGCGACGGGUAAGGAUUUUUCAUUUUCUUUCUGUUUUUGUUUCUGUUUUGCUAUUUCACUGAUUUUCUAUUUAUUUCAACUCCCAAAUAAAUUGAAAAAAUUAUGUUGAGCACCCUAGAAUAUUUGUUGGAAUAUUUCCAACCAUUUCUAAAGUUUUCAACAUUUUUGAAAGUUUAAAAAUUUCUGAUUUCAAAUUUAAAACUUGAAACCAGUAGCUUUUUGCAUUUAUUUAAAAUGCUUAAAGUGUCAAGAAAAUGGUUUUCCUCAUUGCUCAUUUACUGUCAUGAUUUAUCAGAAAGUUUGAACUUUUCUUGAGGCCAUUUUGGGUUCAUUGAUUUUAGCUAGUUUGAAAUUUUCCCUCACUUUUAAGUGGCUAGGGUUUUAGCAUUUUCCUUCAUCAUUUGCUUUGUUCUUGUUGAGAAUUUCAUAGAUGCAAUGCAAAGAAUACAUGAGCACAAGCUAACUUGCUUAAGGUGUCAGGGAUGUGAUAGGCAAAGUCUUCACCGAUUCCCCUGAAGACUAAGGUGACUGCUGGGAGAGGAACAAGACCAAGCCCAAGCAAACUCAUCAAGGUUCCUUCUGCAUUAGAAGGUAGUGAUGAAUUUGAUGAUGACACUCCGCAAGCCAUCAUCAGAAACAAGCAAGAGAGGGUAGCUCAAACUUCUGGUAGCUCCAUUCCUCUGGCCAUGGACCCAAAAGUCCUCUGGAUUACAUCAACAUCUGCUAUGAGGACCCCAACACUCCAAUCGAUGAUUUGAAGCUUCCCCCAAGCAUCAGCCACAUGGUGGCCACAUUCACCAAAGAGGCCAAGUGGAAGGAGCAGCAAGCCAUACAGACUAAGGUUGCAAAGCUCAAAAAGGAGAAAUUCCUCAGGCAGAAUCUCCUCAACCUGACGCCUGAUGCACUUGUGUCAACACAGGCUGAAUUGAAGACUUUGACUGACAAGUACUCUAAGCUUUCUGAUUGUCAAAGUCUCAAAAACAAAUUCAUCAAAUUUUCCACUGACGCAGUUGAUGAUUACAACAAGAAGGCUGCUCCUCCAGUACCAACUCCUCAGCCUCUGAUUGAAGAACGAGCUGAUGAAACUGCUGAUGCUGGGGAAAUCACUCAAGUAAGCCAUGCUGAUGAACCGGCUAUUGAGGAAAUUGUCAAGGAAAAUCCAGCUAAUGACUCUGCUAGAGCUGGUGAAACUGCUCCAGCUGCUUCUAAGCAUGCUGAUGACUCUGCUCCAGCUAGUGCUUCUAAGCCAGUUGAUGACUCUGCUCCAGCUGAUGAGACUGCUUCAACUGAGAAAACACCUUCACCAAAAGCUUCAAAGGUGAAGAAAAUGACUCCGUCUGCAUCAGACGUGAAGAAGACCAGGGCUCCUGAAAAGGAAGCCAAGAAAAGAAAAGCUUCAUCAGCAGAAGAAUCAACCGAGUGCCAAGCGCCUCAAAGCUCUUGAAGAAAAUGCACCUCUGGAUCCUGUGCCUCUCAACGUUGCUCCAUCAUAUGAGAUGACUCCCUUCCAAAGCGACGACAAGGAGCGCGUGGAAGAUGAGGAAAUGAAGAAUGCUGAAUCUGAGGAACAUACUGAUGAGGAAAUUCGCAUUGAUGACAGUCCUCAGUCCUUCAUUCCUCCUGAAGAAACUGCACAAGGAUCAGCUGCACCAGCUGAUGAAUCUGGCUCCUCCACCAAGCAAGCUCCUCAAGCUGAGGAAAAACAAAGUGAAAAUCCUCAGCCAGAUGAAAUUCACAAUUCUGAGCAAAAUCCUCAACCCGACGCUCAGGCUGACCCAAUUCCUCCUCCUGAGCAAAACCCUCAAGCUGAGGCUCAGGAUGAACCAAUUCCUCCUCCAGAGCAAAACCCUCAACAGGAAGCUCUGGUUGAUGACAUUCCUCAACCAGAGCAUGCUCCUCAGCCUGAAGCUCAAGCAGAUGAAGUUCCUAACCCUGAGGAACAUGCUGACGACAAUGCACCAGAUCCAGAGAAUGCCCUUGUCGUCCUCAACCCAGAAACUGCAAUGAUUGUUUCUCCUCAAGUCAAGCCGCAAAAUCUUCAGCCAAUGCAGCAUCAGUCAUUCUCCAAGCGGCCAAAGUUUCAAAAGGAAUCCUUCUUUGAAGAAUGCAUGUUCUUCAUUGGAGAAAAUCCCUAUGACAAGCCUCGCAUGAGGCAUCUGAAGUUUUGGACAAGGACACAACUCAACUACUAUGCCUCUGUGUUUUGUGGAAGAAAAAAGAUUUUCCAGCACAGGCACAUUCCUCACGUUGAGCUUCAAGAAAUUCCAUGCUUUGCUCUAGUCCUCAACGUCCUUUUUGAAGUUGGACUCCUCCCAAUGUGCUCAGAUAUCUAUGAUUGGAAAAGUGAACUCAUUCUUCAAUUCUAUUCAACUCUGCACAUCUCUGGAGAUCCAGCAGACAUGAACACAUGGAUGCUGGAUUGGAUGACACAGAACACACACUUCAAGGCUCCUGCCAAUGAGCUGUUGCAUGAAUUACCAGUGUCAAUUCCCUCAGAACAGGCAGUAAAGUUGUAUGAUGAACGUGAGCUGCUGCCUGGAUUGGAUGAAGCCUUUGGCUAAGGGGAAACCACCAAGAACAACCUUCCUGGUCCAUGAGCUGAAAUAUGAACCCAGGACGGUUUACAGAAUCCUCUGCAGCGUUCUUGCGCCAAUCAAGGGCCAUGAUGAUGAAGAAGACAUCGUAGCAUCAUGAAGAAUAUCCUCUUCAACAUCACACAUGGCAUUCCCAUCAACAUCCAGGAAGAUUUCUUCUUGAGGACUUUGGCCGAAAAUGCUAUGGCCCCUUUUGACCUGAAGAUUUAUGAUCCAUGGAUCAUGAGAUUCAUCAGACGCAGGUCAGGCAUCAAUUAUCACGCUGAUUUCAACAACCAUAUCGGUUAUAUGCCUCCUCUCAGGGUCAACAAGAAGACUUUCAAGCUUGUUGAAGGAAAAGGCAAGUCUGUCAUUGAUGAAGGUAGUCGGCCCCUUGAUGGCCAGUUCCGAGAGCCAGAAGCUUAUUCCUCAUGGGAUGACACUCAAACCCAUCCUCCAAGUCCUGUUGCUCCUAGGGUGCUGAAUACUAGAGAGCUUCUUCUCAGUCUUCACCAGAAGGUGGAUCAGAAUCACAAGUGGGUCAAACGCCAGUUCGGCGCCAUUGUGAAAACCCUCAAUGAAACGCAGAAUGUUGUGAAGCUUAACCAUCAUUAUCUUCAUGAGGUUUUUGAUCGCACCUGGGCCACAUUGGCUUAUUUGAAGACUCCAGCAGAACUUGAAGAAUUGGAGUUUGUUCGGGACUUCGACUGGUCAUGGCCACCAAAGAAGAAAUGCAGGCCAAUUCCAGUUCCAAACCUUGAGGACAGUUCCUUUUCUUCAUUCCGCACUGCUAAAUCUGAUGAAGAUCAACAAGACACUGCCACCGGUCCAACGAGGAAGUCUACUCCCAAGAAUCCUCAUGCGUCUUCCUCAACUGCCAAGAAGUGAAAGUCUUCACGGGCGUUAGUCCUUAGUUUGUCCCUUUUUGUCACUUGACGACAAGGGGGGAGAAACUUGAGAGUUAGUCUUCACGCGGGAUAUUUUGGGGGCUUAUAAACUUUAUUUAAGUUACAAACUAUUGGCUCUUCUGAAGUGUUUUAUGUAAUGAGUUGUAACUUAAUCCCGAUGGUACUCUGACGCUUUUGAACGUUUUUCUUCGCAUGCUUAUUCCUCAAAAAUUUAAUGCAUGCAUGCUGGAAUUCGUCAGAUACCAUUUGUCAUGAUGCAUCCUCAAUUUCUUCAUACUAUAUGUCGUAUGUAUGCCUGAUUUACAAGACUCAGGGGGAGAUCUCCAUGAUAUAAAUCAUCAAUGUGCAUCUGCUGUAGAAAGCAAAAUCCUCAGGAUAUGCACAUCUUCAGGGGGAGUCUCUCUGAAUCUUGAUUUAAAAUUCCUCAAAUGAGUAUUUACACUUCCUAUUUUUAUCCCUGUUGAAGACUUAACCUAAUUGUCAUCAACCACCAAAGGGGGAGAUUGUAAGUGCAUCUAGUGCCCCUUAGUGAUUUUGGUGGUUUGAAGACUUAUAGGUUAAGUAUCUAAUGUGUUCUUGAGUGUACACAUGAUCUAUAAGUCGCUGAGGAGUUUGAAAUAUUCGAUGAAUAUCGAAUCCUAAAAAUGUAUAUCUUCGGUUGAAGAAAUUGGUCUGAAGUUGAAGAAUUGAAUCGCAAAGAAUUUGCGAUGAAAUUGAUAUUCCUCAUGAAGAUAUUGAAAUUGAGGAAUUCGGUGUGUCCUGAAAAACUCAAUCUGAAGACUUUGAAGCAUGAAGAUUUAUCCUUUCUGUUUUAUUUUCUUCACACUUGAGUAAUUGGAACACCGUAAUGUUAAAGGGGGUCGAGGUAACACAUUGGAAUAAAUUUCCUCAUGAUGCUCAACCCAAGCCUAAUCCUACCAAAAGCCUCAAGUGAGGAAUAUGAGAGACAUGAGGACUCUCACAGUUGAGGGUCCCGACCGUUAUCGAUAGCCACGCUACAUCAUUGGUCUUAUCUACACCAACAGUCAUAUUAUUUAAGGGCAUUAAUGUCAAAUCAUGUCGGGAUGCUCCCAGGCUAUAAUUAGCCACCCCCCACAACCAUUACCUGGUUGGCUGCUCCGUUAGAAACUGACACUUGUCAUAAGAGCAACCCAAAUUCCUCAGAAUCUUCGAGAGUAAUUCAUCAGUGAGGAAAUACCCCAAACACCAAACCACAAACCAAAACCAAGCGAUUGAGCAUCACUGAAGAAGUUGUUCCUAUGUGGGACUGAAGUCUUUUACCUUUGAGGACUGUGCAUCCUCCAGACGGUUAGGCGUCAUGGUCUAGAGCAAUCCAGCAGUCAAUUGUGGAUCGCUAGGUGACCAAGUUUGUGAGGGUUUGGAAGUCUCCCCUGAAGACUUACCACGAGUGUUGGGCGAGGACUGUGUGUUCUUAGCCCAAGGAGAAUACGGUAGGGACUGUGUGUCCCGGGACUGUGUGUCCUUUGGUUUCAAUACCAAGCCGCUCCAAACCAGAUGUACAACUGUCACAGAAGUUGGAACUCGGUCAUCAACCACUGUCUUCACUGUGAAACGGGUUCUAUUUCCUCAACUCUUUAUAUUCCUCAGAUUGUGUGUUGAUGAUUUUCACUGUCACUGUUUGAAGAAUUUGCUGAAGACUUUCUCUGAAAUUCCUCAACCCCAAAUUCUUUACGCGAGUUAAUCCUCAUCUGUUUUUUUGCGUGCCUGCAUACUAUGCAAACUGUUUUCACAUUCUUCAUCCUGAAAAAUUGCUGUAGUGAAACUUUGCACUCCUGAUCCUUUGCUGUUUCCGCUGUAAGUUAGUCAUCAGUGAGGAAUUUACUCAAAAGGAAUUUCCUGAGUGAUGAAAUUCUAAAAAUCUCCUAUUCACCCCCUCUAGUCGAUAUAACGCACUUUCAAUUGGUAUCAGAGCAAGGUACUCCCUUGUGUGUGAUUUUGGUUUAACCACGUGGAGUUUUAGUUAUGUCGACUGCGGGCAUGAUUAAGGUUACUGCAGCAUGUCCCACUUUCGAAGGAAAGGACUUUCCCUUCUGGAAGACCAAGAUGCAGAUGCAUCUACAAGCUAUUGACAACGAUCUCUAGUAUAUUGUGGAACAUGGCGUCCAUAUCGUCACUGCUACUAUCUCUGCCGCUGAUGUGAAGAAAUUCAAGCAACUUGAUUCUCAAGCGAAGAAUAUCAUCUGUGGCCAUCUGAGCAAGGGCCAAUAUGGCAGAGUAAGUGCUUUGGGCUCAGCAAAACCUAUCUGGGAAAGGUUGUCCAAAGUGAAUGAAGGAGUAUCAACCCAGCAUGAUUCUUGUGUUGAUGUUCUUCACAAUAUCUUCAAUCGCUUCAAGAGGUUUGGCAAUGAAAGCUGCCAAGAUACCUUUGAUCGCCUCACUGACAUAUCAAAUGAACUGCAAGCACUAGGAGCUCGAGACAUUACUGAUCACGAAGUUGUGAAGAAACUGCUAAGAUCUUUGGAUUCUUCAUUUGAUACUUUAGUUCUGAUGAUUCAAGAAAGACCAGACUACAAUAUGCUUGAUCCAGCUUAUAUACUAGAAAGACUCAAUACUCAUGAAUUCCAACAAGAAUAAAAGCGAGAUCUAUAUGGACCAAGCUACUCUAGACCUUCUCUUAAAUUCCUGUUUGAAGAAUUUUCACUAUCAGUGUUUGAAGAAUUUGCUGAAGACUUUCUCUGAAAUUCCUCAACCCCAAAUUCUUCAGGCGAGUUAAUCCUCAUCUGUUUCCUGCGUGCCUGCAUACUAUGCAAACUGUUUUCAUAUUCUUCAUCCUGAAAAAUUGUUGUAGUGAAACUUUGCACUCCUGAUCAUUUGUUGUUUCCGUUGUACGUUAGUCAUCAGUGAGGAAUUUACUCAAAAGGAAAUUCCUCAGUGAUGAAAUUCUAAAAAUCUCCUAUUCACCCCCCUCUAGUCGAUAUAACGCACUUUCAGUGUCAACUUAUCCAGUUCAAGCCUACGAUAAAGAGAGAGAGGCAUAACACUAACACCGGCUCCAAGGUCGCAUAACACAGUUUUAACGUAGUUUCCUUUAAUGGAGCAAGGUAUAGUGGGCACUCCGGGAUCACCUAGUUUCUUAGGAGUUCCACCCUUGAAGGUAUAGUUAGCAAGCAUGGUGGAAAUCUCAACCUCGGGUAUCCUCCUUUUAUUAGUCACAAUAUCCUUCAUGUACUUAGCAUACGGAGACAUUUUGAGCAUAUCUGUCAAACGCAUUUGCAGAAAGACAGGUCUAAUCAUUUCAACGAAUCGCUCAAAAUCCUCAUCAUCCUUUUUCUUGGAUGGUUUAGGAGAAAAUGGCAUGGGUUUCUGACCCAUGGUUCACUUUCUUUACCAUGCUUCCUAGCAGCGAAGUCAUUCUUAUCAUAUCUAGGUUCAACCUCCACAUCCUUAUCAUUGCUAGGUUGAGGAUCUUCAUGAACAUUACUAUUGAUAUUAUCAUCAGGCUCAUGUUCAUCACCAGAUUGUGUUUCAGCAUCAAAGACAGAGACAUCGUUUGGACUCUCAGGUGUAGAAGCAACAGGAUUGCUAGCGCGCGGGUUCCUAUCAUCUUUCUUCUUCUUUCUAGGAUGACUAGGUGCAUCAGUGCUAACUCCUUGAGAAUCUUGUUCAAUUCUCUUCGGAUGACCCUCAGGAUACAAAGGUUCCUGGGUCAUUCUACCGCCUCUAGUGACGGCUCUGACAGAAUUAUCAUUCAACUCAUUGAGCAAGUCAUUCUGAGGUUUAAGUACUUGUUCUACCUGAGUAGUAACCAUAGAGGCAUGUUUACUCAGAAGUUUAAGAUCAUUGACAUUUCUGUCCACACAAGCACUUAAAUGACUAAGCAUACGAGCAUUUUGUUCCAAUUGUCUGCUAACAUAAUCAUUGAAACUUUGUUGUUUGGCAACAAAGUUAUCAAAUUCAUCCAGGCAUAGGCUAGCAGGUUUAUCAAAAGGAAUAUCACUCUCAUCAAACCUACGCAGAGAAUGUACUUCUACUGCCUGUAUCGGGUUAUCAAGACUAUGGAUCUCUUCGAUAGGUGGUAGAUUUUUGACAUUUUCAGAUUUAAUGCCUUUCUCUUUCAUAGAUUUCUUAGCUUCUUGCAUAUCUUCGGGACUGAGGAAUAGUACCUCUUUUCGUCGGAGUUGGCUUAGGAAGUGGUUCGGGAAUAGUCCAAGCAUUCUCAUUGCACAAGAUGUUAUUCAAUAGGAUCUCAGCUUGUUCUACGAUUCGUUCCCUAAAAACACAACCGGCACAACUAUCUAGGUGGUCUCUAGAAGCAUCGGUAAGUCCAUUAUAGAAGAUAUCAAGUAUUUUGUUCUUCUCAAGAGGGUGAUCAGGCAAAGCAUUCAGCAGCUGGACGAGCCUCCCCCAAGCUUGUGGGAGACUCUCUUCUUCAGCUUGAGCAAAGUUGUAUAUUUCCUGCAAGGCAGCUUGCUUCUUAUGGGCAGGGAAAUAUUUUUCAGAGAAGUAGUAGACCAUAUCCUAGGGGAUACGCACACAACCAGGAGCAAGAGAAGUGAAUCAGGUCUUAGCAUCAUCCUUUAGUGAGAAAGGAAACAGCUUAAGGAUAUAGUAGUGGCGGAUCUUUUCCUCACUAGUGAAUAGGGUGGCUAUAUCAUGCAGUUUGCUAAGAUGGGCUACAACCGUUUCAGACUCAUAACCGUGAAAAUGAUCAGAUUCGACCAGAGUGAUUAACUCAGGGUCGACAGAGAAUUCAUAAUCCUUAUCGGUCACAAAGAUAGGCGAAGUAGCAAACUUCGGGUCGUAUUUCAUCCUAGCAUUCAGAGAUUUUUCUUUCCACUUGCGCAGUAAUUUCUCAACAUCAUAGCUAUCCUUACACGCAAGAAAAUCCUCACCUAUCUCUCCCUCCAUAACAUAACUCUCAGGCAUAUCAGGCAAUUCACGCAUAAUAGCAGGUUCUACUUCAAUAGUAUCAGCAGUUUCAGAAGUAUCAUCACAUCUAGCAGCAACUCUAGCAAUUCGUGCAUCAAGGAAUGCACCUAGUGGCAAGGCAGUAUCAAGCAUAGCAUCAUCAGGCAAAGCAGUAUCAAGCAUAGCAUCAUCAGGCAAAGCAGUAUCAAGCAUAGCAUCAUCAUAAGCAUCAUGGGCAGCAGACGUAGCAUCAUCAAGAACAGGCGACAUAUCAAGAUUUCUAGCAGGAGGUGGUGUCGCAAACUUACUCAUAACUGAAGGUGAAUCAAGUGUAGAGCUAGAUGGCAGUUCCUUACCUGUCCUCGUAGUUGAGGGCAAGACUUUGGUUUUUGGAUCUCAGAUUCCUCAUAGUGACCAGCAGACGUAAAUCCCAAGUGACUCAGAGAAUAUAGGUGUGCUUCCCCGGUAACGGCGCCAGAAAAUAGUCUUGAUAACCCACAAGUAUAGGGGAUCGCAACAGUUUUCGAGGGUAGAGUAUUCAACCCAAAUUUAUUGAUUCGACUCAAGGGGAAGCCAAAGAAUAUUCUCAAGUAUUAGCAGUUGAGUUGUCAAUUCAACCACACCUGAAAGAUUUAGUAUCUGCAGCAAAGUAUCAGUAGCAAAGUAGGGUGAUAGCAGCAGCAGCAACAGUGACCAGUAGCAGUAGAGUAACAGCAGUAGCAAUAGAGUAACAGUAGCAGCAGCAAAGUAACAUAGCAAGGACGAGUAGUAAAAGACUUGUAGGCAUUGGAUCGGUGAUGGAUGAUUAUGCCGGAUGUGAUUCAUCAUGCAACAGUUAUAACACGGAGAGAUAAGUAACUAGCUCCAGUUCGUCAAUCUAAUGUAGGCAUGUAUUCCGUAUGUAGUCAUACGUGCUUAGGGAAAAGAACUUGCAUGACAUCUAUUGUCCAUCCCUCCCGUGGCAGCGGGGUCCUAAUGGAAACUACUGGAUAUUUAGGUUAUCCUUUUAAUAAAGAACCGGACCAACGCAUUAACACUUGGUGAAUACAUGAACUCCUCAUACUAUGGUCAUCCCCGGGAGUGGUUCCGGCUAUUGUCACUCCGGUGUUGCCGGGUCAUAACACAUAGUAGGUGACUACAACUUUCAAGAUAGGAUCUAAAACACACAUAUAUUGGCGACAACAUAAUAGGUUCAGAUCUGAAAUCAUGGCACUCGGGCCCUAGUGACAAGCAUUAAGCAUGGCAAAGUAGUAGCAACAUCAAUAUCAGAACAUAGUGGAUACUAGGGAUCAAUCCCCGUCAAAACUAACUCGAUUACAUGAUAGAUCUCAUCCAACCCAUCACCGUCCAGCAAGCCUACGAUGAGAUUACUCAUGAACGGUGAAGAGCAUCAUGGAAUUGGCAAUGAAGGAAGGUUGAUGAUGACGAUGGCGACGAUCGCCCCUCUCCGGUGCCCAGAACGGACUCCAGAUCUGCCCUCCAGAUGAAGAACAUGAGGUGGCGGCGCCUCCGUAUCGUAAAACACGAUGAACUCUUCUCCUUGAUUUUUUCCUGGGCGAGAUGGGCUAAAUAGAGCUGGAUUUGGAGGCAGUGGAGCAUCAUGGGCUCCACAAGCCUGCCAGGCGCGGCUAGGGGGGUCGUGCCUGGUGGGCUUGUGGGCUCACGGCUCCACUUCCUCCGCUGAUUCUUGCGCCAGUAUUUUUCAUAAAUUCCAGAAAAAUUCUCCGUAAAUUUUCAGGUCAUUCCGAGAACUUUUAUUUCUGCGCAAAAACAAUACCAUGGUAAUUCCGAUGAAAAUAGCGUUAGUCCGGGUUAGUUCCAUUCAAAUCAUGCAAAUUAGAGUGCAAAACAAGGGCAAAAGAGUUCGGAAAAGUAGAUACGAUGGAGACGUAUCAGGGACCUUUUCCAAAAUCCAACGGGUAUACUCAUAUCCUAGUUGUUGUUGAUUAUGUUACUAAGUGGGUAGAAGCUAUCCCAACUAGUAGUGCUGAUCACAACACCUCUAUCAGGAUGCUUAAAGAAGUUAUUUUCCCUAGAUUUGGAGUCCCUAGAUAUCUAAUGACCGAUGGUGGUUCACAUUUUAUUCAUGGUGCUUUCCGUAAAACGCUUGCUAAGUACGAUGUCAAUCAUAGAAUUUCUUCUCCCUAUCACCCUCAGUCCUGUGGUCAAGUAGAGCUAAGCAAUAGAGAGAUUAAACUAAUUCUGCAAAAGACUGUCAAUAGGUCUAGAAAGAAUUGGUCUAAGAAGCUCGAUGAUGCACUUUGGGCUUAUAGAACUGCCUAUAAGAAUCCCAUGGGCAUGUCUCCGUACAAAAUGGUAUACGGUAAAGCAUGUCAUUUACCUCUUGACCUAGAGCAUAAGGCAUAUUGGGCAAUCAAAGAGCUCAACUUUGAUUUCAAACUUGCUGGUGAGAAGAGGUUAUUUGACAUUAGCUCGCUUGAUGAAUGGAGAACUCAGGCAUAUGAAAAUGCCAAGUUGUUCAAAGAAAAGGUUAAGAGGUGGCAUGAUAAAAGGAUACAAAAGUGUGAGUUCAAUGUAGGUGAUUAUGUCUUGCUAUAUAAUUCUCGUUUAAGAUUUUUUGCAGGCAAGCUUCUCUCUAAAUGGGAAGGUCCUUACAUUGUUGAGGAAGUAUAUUGUUCCGGUGCCAUCAAGAUCAACAACACGGAAGGUAAUUUUCCGAGAGUGGUAAAUGGGCAGAGAAACAAGCAUUAUAUCUCGGGUACUCCAAUAAAUGUUGAAAGCAAUAUUAUCAAUACCAUAACUCCGGAGGAGUACCUAAGGGAUAUUUAUCAACCUGUUUCGGACUCCAAAAACUAAUAGGUAUGUGAUUCGGUAAGUAAACAGACCCCAAAACUUUUCCACUAGGAAUUUUUCUCCGUUUUGGAAUUUUUGAAAAAAUAGAAAAUUUUAAAGUUGUCUGGAAAGCGCACGAGGAGGCGACAAGCGUGCUAGGCGCGGGCCACCCCCCUGGCCGCGUCUGGGGGGCUUGUGACCACCUCGUGUGCCUCUCGGACUCCAUUUUCUUGAGGUGUACUCCUUCUGGUCGGAAAAAAAUUAUUAUAUAUUCUCCCGAAAGGUCUGGCCCUCGUAUCACGCAAAUUUCCUCUAUUUUCAUUUCGAGCCUGUUUCUGCUACAGAUCUAGAUCGCUAUGGCGUCCCCAAAACCUCCGAAGGACAGGAUCUUCGAGAAGGUCAUCAAUCCCUACCUCGCGGGAGUUCUGCAACACCAUCAAUCUAUCGAGAUGCGUGAGGGGAUGCUGCACAUCCGUGAUGUUGAGGGGCCCAAGAAGACCGGAAGCGUGGAGGCAAGGCUCGAAGCAAUGGAGCAACAUGUCUUCAAGUGCCAAGGGAUGGUGGAGCGUGGACUCAACGCCAACCACAUGAUGAUCACGGAGUUCACCAACAAUCACAAGAUCGAUGCCAAUGACAUCGGGAAGCACAUCUCCAGGCUCUAUGACAGAAUUGAUCACCUCCAAGCCCAGAUCUAUGACCUGCAGAACAAAAACUGUGAAUAUGAAUAUAGAUUUAAAUCAAUACGGUUGGCUGCAGAUUUGAGGAUUCCGGAGACUCGGUCAUCUUUCCAUGAUGGAGCACCUCUGCCUUGGAAGACGGAGGAUCAAACCCAUGUUGCAACAACUCCACCACCAUCACCUCCAAAGGAAUACAACUAAGCAUGGGUAUGGGCAAUCCCCUUGGCUUGUGCCAAGCUUGGGGGAGUUGCCCCGGUAUCGUAUCACCAUCACAUCUUUUGCCUUUACCUUUUCUUAGUUCGAUCCUUUUUGGUUCUAUCUUUCUCUAGUAGAAUAAAGUUUUUAGUGUUUUAGGCUUGAGUUUUGCUUUGUGUCACCCCCGAUGUAUUCGAGCUCGUGAGCCAUAUAAUAAAGAGUGUCUUAGUUAAUGGCUUUGCCUCAUGCCAUGAUCAAAAGAAUGAUAAAAGAACAAAAGCAUGAAAGAUCAUGUAAUGAUCUUAUGGGAAGUGAUGGCUUCACAUAUAGAAAGAAUGAUGAUUGAAACUUGUUGAGGGUGGACAAACAUAGACCUUUGUCAUUGUUGCAAUUAAUAGGAGGUCAUAAAAAAGGAGAGGUUCACAUAUAAAUAUAUCAUCUUUGACACCAUCUAUGAUUGUGAACACUCACUAAACUAUUACAUGCUUAGAAGUAGGUGUUGGACAAGGAAGACAACAUAAUGAAUUGUGUUUGCUUGGUUCCGAACAAUGUUAUAUGACUAGAGAUCCCUUAGCAUGUGACGAUUUCUUCCACCCCUUAUCAGCCAAAACUCCCGCACCAAGUAGAGAUACUACUUGUGCAUUCAUAAACCUUCAACCCCGUUUUGCCAUGAGAUUCCACCAUACCUACCUAUGGAUUGAAUAAGAUCCCUCAAGUAAGUUUUCAUCGGUGCAAGCAAUAAAAAUUUCUCCCUUAAUAUGUAUGAUCUAUUAGUGUGUGGAAAAUAAGCUUUGUACGAACCUGUGAUGAGGAAGACAUAAAAGCGACAGACUGCAUAAUAAAGUUCUUUAUCACAAGAGGCAAUAUAAAGUGACGUUCCUUCACACUAAGAGGUCGCACAUCCAAACCUCAAAAGCGCAUGACAACCUCUGCUUCCCUCUGCGAAGGGCCUAUCUUUUACCUUUACUUUUUGCCCUUGAAAGAGUCAUGGUGAUCUACACCAAUUCCUUAUUUCGCCUUUUUCUUGGCUAACGUCAUAUGCUAGGGAAAGAUCUAUAUUCAUAUGUCAACUUGGAGGUAAGUAUUCAUGAAUUAUUAUUGUUGACUUUACUCUUGAGGUAAUUGGUCGGGAGGCGAAACUAUAAGCCCUUGUCUUUCUCUGUGUCCGACUGAAACUUUGAUCUCAUGAGUACCACGUGAGUUGUAGCAAUUGUAGAAGACAAAAGGAUGAUUGAGUAUGUGCAUUUGCUUUACAAGCUCUUCUUGACUCUUUCCGAUGUUGUGAUAAAUUGCAAUUUCUUCAAUGACUAAAGGCUAUCGGUUGUUAAUUCUCGGUAAGGUUCUUGAUCCAUUCUUUACCUUGUGAAGGAAUUGCCACUUUAGCAUAAGAGUUCAUAUGAUGGUGUUGCUGUUCUGAAUAUGAUCAUGAUGCCUGCAUGUCCGUAUCUUGUUUUGUCGACACCUCUCUCUCUAAACAUGUGGUCAUAUUUAUUGAUCUCGGCUUUCGCUCGAGGAAAAGCAAGGUCUAAGCUUGGGGGAGUUGAUACGUCCAUUUUGCAUCAUGCUUUCAUGUUGAUAUUUAUCGCUUUAUGGGCUAUUAUUACACUUCGCGGUACAAUACUUAUGCCUUUUCUCUCUUAUUUUGCAAGGUUUACAUGAAGAGGGAGAAUGCCGGCAGCUGGAAUUCUGGCCUGAAAAAGAAGCAAGUUUGAGAUACCUAUUCUGCGCAACUCCAAAAGCCGUGAAAAUCAACAAGGAUUUAUUUUGGAAUUUAUAAAAAAUACUGGGCCAAAGAAGUACCAGAGGGGAGCCAGCAGGAAGCCACAAGCUUGUUAGGCGCGCCCCCUCGUCGCGCCUAGGAGGCUUGUGGGCUCCCAGCUGGCCCUCUGGCCCCCCUCUUUUGCUACAAGAAGGGUUUCGUUCCAGAAAAAAUCAGAGAGAGGUUUUCGGGAGGAAUCGCCGCCGCCACGAGGCGGAACUUGAGCAGAACCAAUCUAGAACUCCGGCAUGGUCGUCCUACCAGGGAAACUUCCCUCCCGGAGGGGGAAAUCGUCGCCAUCGUCAUCACCAACAUCCCUCUCAUCGGAGGGGACUCAUCACCAUCAACAACUUCAGCAGCACCAUCUCAUCUCCAAACCGUAGUUCAUCUCUUGUAACCAAUCUCCAUCUCGCUACUCCGAUUGGUACUUGUAAGGUUGCUAGUAGUGUUAAUUACUCUUUGUAGUUGAUGCUAGUUGGAUUACUUGGUGGAACAUUAUAUGUUCAGAUCUUUGAUGCUACUCAUUAACUCUCUCGUCAUGAAUAUGAUUAUCCUUUGUGAGUAGUCACUUUCGUUCCUGAGGACAUGGGAUAAGUCAUGCAAUAAGUAGUCAUGUGAAUUUGGUAUUCGUUCGAUAUUUUGAUGUGUUGUAUGUUGUCUCUCCUCUAGUGGUGUUAUGUGAGCGUCGACUACAUAACACUUCACCAUUAUUUGAGCCUAGAGGAAGGCAUUGUGAAGUAGUAAGUAUAUUAUGGGUUGAUAGAGUGACAGAAGCUUACACCCUAGUUUAUGCGUUGCUUCGUAAGGGGCUAAUUUGGAUCCACUAGUUUAAUGCUAUGGUUAGACUUUGUCUUAAUUCUUGUUUCGUAGUUGCAGAUGCUUGAGAGAGGGGUUAAUCAUAAGUGGGAUGCUUAUCCAAGUAAGGGCAGUACCCAAGCGCCGGUCCACCCACAUAUCAAACUAUCAAAGUAGCGAACGCGAAUCAUAUGAACAUGAUGAAAACUAGCUUGACAGAAAUCCCCAUGUGUCCUCGGGGGCGCUUUACCUCCUGUAAGAGUUUGUCCAGGCUUGUCCCUUGCUACAAAAGGGAUUGGGCCACUUUGCUGCACCGUUGUUACUAUUGUUACUUGCUACUUGCUACGAAUCAUCUUACCACACAACUACUUGUUACCGAUAAUUUCAGUGCGUGUAGAGAAUACCUUGCUGAAAACCACUUGUCAGAUCCUUCUGCUCCUCGUUGGGUUCGACACUCUUACUUAUCGAAAGGACUACGAUAGAUCCCCUAUACUUGUGGAUCAUCACACACACCUCCUACAUACUGGUCGGCCAAAAAACACAGGAGUGAGCGGGCAGGGACGAGCAUAUAUAUAGGCAUUCUUUUACUCCCAGUUGGUGUUUAGAACUGGGACCGAAGACAGAAGUUUAGUCCCGAUUCCACACACAAACCGGGACUAAAGGGGGUGCGCCUAGAGCUAGGCCCUUUAGUCCAGAUUGGUGGCUGGAACCGGGACUAAAGGUCCUAGACGAACCGGGACUGGUGCCCGCCGAGGCCCAACCAACGUCCUGGCUGCUGGAACCGGGACUAGUUUCAAUUCGUAAAGCGACCGAGACUAUUGCUCAAUCGGGGCAAGGACGAAAGCUCUGUUUUCAACUAGUGUGCCGUGGCCCCCGAGCAUGGUUUAGAUAAGGAAAGAGUCAAUUGUUUGCGCUCCUAGUUGUUCAUGUUUUCACCUUGGCCCCUCUGUGAUUCAUGUUUAUCUCUGUCACUCGUGGUUUUCCUCCGGUUUAUUCUGAACCACGUUUUUGUACAAGUUUUAUUGGAGCUCAAGGUAUUAUCCAAAGAAUGGUCAUAAAGACACAAGGUUGAUCAAGACUAAGACAAAGAGUAAAUCAAGAUGAUCGACACACAAAGUGUUGGGGAACGUUGCAUGGGAAACAAAAAUUUAACUACGCACACGAAGACCUAUCAUGGUGAUGUCCAUCAACGAGUGAAGAUUUGGAUCUACGUACCCUUGUAGAUCUCACAGCAGGAAGUGUUAAGAAACGCGGUUGAUGUAGUGGAACGUCCUCACAUCCCUCGAUCUGCCCCGCGAACCGUCCCACGAACCGUCCCGCGAUCCGUCCCGCGAUCCGUCCCACGAUCCGCUCCGAUCUAGUGCCGAACGGACGACACCUCCGCGUUCAGCACACGUACAGCUCGACGAUGAUCUCGGCCUUCUUGAUCCAGCAAGCAAGACGGAGAAGUAGAUGAGUUCUUCGGCAGCGUGACGAUGCGCCGGUGGUGGUGAAGGAUUUACUCCCACAGGGCUCCGCCAGAGCUCCGCAGAAAUACAAUCUAGAGGUAAAACUAUGGUGUCUAGAUCUGAGUUGCACGUGGCAAAGUUGUCUCAAAUCAGCCCUAAAUCACCACUAUAUAUAGGAGGGAGGGGAGGAGGCUUGCCUUGAGGGCCAAGCCCUCAAGAGUGCGCCGGCCAGGGAGGAGGAGGAGUCCUACUCCAAUCCUAGUCCAACUAGGAUUGGAAAGUGGAGUCCUUCUCUUCCUUCCCACCUUUUUUUUCUUUUCUUUGGUUUUUCUUUCUUGGCGCAUAGGUCCCUUUGGGCUGUCCCACCAGCCCACUAAGGGCUGGUGCGCCACCCCUAGGGCCUUUGGGCUUCCCCCGGGUGGGUUGCCCCCCUCCCGGUGAACAUCCGGAACCCAUUCCUCACUCCCGGUAAUGCCCGAAAACCUUCCGGUAACCAAAUGAAGUCAUCCUAUAUAUCAAGCUUCGUGUCCGGACCAUUCCGGAAACCCUCGUGACGUCCGUGAUCUCAUCCGGGACUCCUAACAACAUUCGGUAACCACACAUAUAACUCAACUAUACUAAAACAUCAUCGAACCUUAAGUGUGCAGACUCUGCGGGUUCGAGAACUAUGUAGACAUGCCCCGAGGUACUCCUCGGUCAAUAUCCAAUAGCAGGACCUGGAUGCCCAUAUUGGAUCCUACAUAUUCUUCGAAGAUCUUAUCGGUUGAACCUCAGUGUCAAGGAUUCAUAUAAUCCCGUAUGUCAUUCCCUUUGUCCUUCGGUAUGUUACUUGCCCGAGAUUUGAUCGUAGGUAUCCGCAUACCUAUUUCAACCUCGUUACCGGCAAGUCUCUUUACUCGUUUUGUAAUACAAGAUCUCGUGACUUACACUUAGUCACAUUGCUUGCAAGGCUUGUGUGUGAUGUUGUAUUACCGAGUGGGCCCCGAGAUACCUCUCCAUCACACGGAGUGACAAAUCCCAAUCUUGAUCCAUACUAACUGAACGGACACCUUCGGAGAUACCUGUAGAGCACCUUUACAGUCACCCAGUUACGUUGUGAUGUUUGAUGCACACAAGGUAUUCCUCCGGUGCCAGUGAGUUAUAUGAUCUCAUGGUCAUAGGAACAAAUACUUGACACGCAAAAAACUAUAGCAAUAAAACGACACGAUCAAUAUGCUACGUUCAUAGUUUGGGUCAAUUCCAUCACAUGAUUCUCCUAAUGAUGUGAUCGAGUUAUCAAGCAACAACACUUUGUACAUAGUCAGAAAACCUUGACUAUCCUUGAUCAACUGGCUAGCCAACUAGAGGCUUGCUAGGGACAUUGUUUUGUCUAUGUAUCCACACAUGUAUCUAUGUUUUCAUUCAAUACAAUUAUAGCAUGGAUAAUAAACGAUUAUCUUUAAACAGGAAAUAUAAUAAUAACUUAUGUAUCAUUGCCUCUAGGGCAUAUUUCCAACACAAAGUGUACAAGAUGUACCGAGAGGGAUCAAGUGAUCCCAUGGUAUGGUAAGCAUUGUCCAUAACGGUUUUGUGUACUAACCCAUGGAAUUCGUGAGAGUUCUAUGUGGGGUCAGGUGUGUUUCCAUGGGUUUGCGUCAAGAGGAAGAUCUCAUUCAAACCUAUGAAGGAUGACAUCAAGUGGCGAUCGUCAUCAAGAUUGUGGUGUGCAAGUUCAAGUGGAGCAUCACGAAGAUAUCAUGCUUGAAGCUUGCCGUCCAUUGUGGUGGCAAUGGACUUGUGAAGAUGUGCUGAAGAGUGGCUCGCCCAUAUUGAGUAUGGGGAGUGAUGAAAUAGUCUUCAUCAAACCAACACAAUCAAGAAAGGUGGUCCAUCUUGAGGAAUCCAAGAUCAUCAUCAUCUAGCUCAAGAGGACUAGGUGCAAGGUAUAGGUUUGCCCUUGAUAGGGUUUUUCUAUUUUAGGAUAGAUUGCCAUACUGUUAAGGGGGCUCUCAAGUGAGUAGCUUGAUUGUAUUGUUCGUUGAGAGCUCAAAUCAUUUGCAUCAUUGCAUCAUAUUUCUUGGUUCUUGUUUGGUGUUUCUCUUUGUGAGUAUUAGAGCUUAUGGUCAUCUUCAUGACAAGCUCGAGUUCAUUGAAAAUGGAGCCCAUAUGCAUCUUCUAUGAUGUUUUCGAUGUUGGAAGUUUUUGCCGGUUCUUCAUUCAUAGAGGUCUAACAUCUCCAUAUCAUUGAAAUUUUCGUAACUGCGUGUUCUUAAGAUUUCCAACAAGCUUGAGUUUGCUCAAUUGAGAGCUCGUAUGCAAAAGAUAUGGCAGUUCUGGUUUUCUUCUGCUGAAUGAUCCAAGCAGUAGUACCGCUCACUAGACCGGUACUAUCUCUUAUCACCGGUAGUACUUCCCGGGCCAGCGGUAGUACCGCUCAGAGAGGUAGUGGUGCUGCUCAGAAAUGCGAACACUUUUGUGGUCGGUCUUUGGGGCAGUAUUGGGCGGUAGUACCGCCCAGAGGGAGGUACUACCGCUUGUUACUAUUGCUCCCCUGAGCAGUACUAUCGCUUAUCAUCGGUAGUACCGCUCCCAGGAGCGGUAGUAGCGCUCUGGCUCGGGUUGAGGGGGUUACGGUUGGAUUUUCCCUUCCUAUUUAAGGGGACCUUCUUCCCCAAAAGUCCCUAUCUGUUGAGCUCGUGUUCUUCCUCCAUUGUUAACCUAUCUCGAGCUUGCUAACUCUCAAUCCCUCCAAUGAUUCUUGCUAGUUCUUGAUGGAAAAGAGAGAGGAGAUCCAGAUCCACAUCUGCACCAAUCACUUUCUCCUCUAUGUGAGUGGAACCCCUUGGAUCUCGAUCUUGGAGUUCUUUGCGAGCUCCUUGUUCUUCCUCUCACAUUCCUCCAUAGCUUUUGUUGUUGUGGAGGGAUUUGAGUGUGAGGGAAUUGACCACUUCGUGUGUUCUUGCCAUUGCAUUAGUUGCAUCUGUUUGAAUUCUCAACGGUGAUACCUGGAAGUGAAGUUUGAGAAGCUUAUUAAUCUUGGGUGCUUGGUACCCUAAUACUUGUUCUUUUUGGGUGCUUUGGCAUCCUAGAAGCUUGGUGGUGCCUCGGAGCUCAAUCAUUGUGGUGUAAAGCUUUGGGCAAGCGUCGAGGUCUCCAAUUAGGUUGUGGAGAUUGCCCCGAGCAUUUCAGUUUACCUCGAAGUCAUAAUCCAUUGUCGUGAAGCUUGGUGGUGUUGGGAGCCUCCAAUUAAGUUGUGGAGAUUACUCCAACCUUGUUUGUACGGGUUCGGUGACCGCCCUCAAGGGUCCAUUAGUGGAAUCACGACAUCUUGCAUUGUGCGAGGAUGUGAGGAGAUUACUGUGGCCUUAGUGGCAUCUUGGGGAGCAUUGUGCCUCCACACCUCUCCAAACGAAGAUUAGCAUCCGCAAGGGUGCGAACUUCGGGAUACAUCGUCGUCUCCGCGUGCCUCGGUUAUCUCUUACCCGAGCCUUUUACUUGUUAUAUAUCUUGCUAUCACUUAGUUGUUUAUCUUGCUUAGCAUAAGUUGUUGGUGCACAUAGGUGAGCCUAGUUGUUUUAGGUUUUGUGCUUGAGAAAUUAAACGUUAGUUUUAUUCCACAUUUGUUCAAGCGUAAACCGUAAUUAUUUUAAAACGCCUAUUCAACCCCCCCCCCCCCCCCCCCCCCCCCCCCCCCCCCCCCCCCCCCCCCCCCCCCCCCCCCCCCCCCCCCCCCCCCCCCCCCCCCCCCCCCCCCCCCCCCCCCCCCCCCCCCCCCCCCCCCCCCCCCCCCCCCCCCCCCCCCCCCCCCCCCCCCCCCCCCCCCCCCCCCCCCCCCCCCCCCCCCCCCCCCCCCCCCCCCCCCCCCCCCCCCCCCCCCCCCCCCCCCCCCCCCCCCCCCCCCCCCCCCCCCCCCCCCCCCCCCCCCCCCCCCCCCCCCCCCCCCCCCCCCCCCCCCCCCCCCCCCCCCCCCCCCCCCCCCCCCCCCCCCCCCCCCCCCCCCCCCCCCCCCCCCCCCCCCCCCCCCCCCCCCCCCCCCCCCCCCCCCCCCCCCCCCCCCCCCCCCCCCCCCCCCCCCCCCCCCCCCCCCCCCCCCCCCCCCCCCCCCCCCCCCCUAAUCGACAUCCACGUCCUUUAACUAGUUCAUUGCUAGAUUAGUGCAAUUGUUGCAACUACUUCCUCCACUCAUAAAUAUAAGACCUUUUUACAUAUUUUACUAUAGACUACAUACAUAGCAAAAUGAGCGAGUCUACACUUCAAAAUAUGACUACAUGCGUACAUCUAUAUGUAGUUUAUAGUGCAAUUUCUAAAAAAUAUUAUAUUUAAGAACAGAGGGAGUACGUAAUAGGCAGAAGCUAACCAAGUAACUAGAGUUAGGGGAGCACAUGAACGAGUGUAGCUAGGCUGUGUCCGUGUGUGGUAACUAUAAACACACCAAUCCUUCUUUUUUUGCGGUUGUUCGAUAGACAAAUACUUUUUCUGUAUCUAAAUACUUGUAGCUGAAAAAAACUAGAGUUUUCUUUAACUACACGUAUUUAGGUAUAGAGGGAGUAGAAAAGACAAGAAAGAGGAUGCUGGACAUGACAACUCAUACGUGUGCGUGCGUACUCUUUCAGAGUGACGUGCGAGUGAAGUUCUUUUCUUAGUUGGAGAUCGAGUGAAGUUGAUGAACAUCGAAGUUGGGAGAAGAAGUCAAGCCCAAAAUCAGCCUAAAGAACAACACACAAGUGGCACCAUGAAGCAGCACAGUUCAUGCCUGCCUACCAAAAAGCCCAAAAGGCACAAAAUAUCUGAGCACUUUCCCCCGUUUUAUGUAUUUCAUAUUCGAACUAGAAUCCUUUAAAUACAGAUGUAACCAGAUACGUACAACUCAGCAGCAAGCAACUAUACGAGCAGAGCAUAGCAGACUGGCAGUAGCAGACACAGAGAGAAAGUAGAAGGGCAAGGAUGGGUCAGUGCCCCUCGAUCCGGCAGCCUGAGGCAGAGUAUGUACGCCUGAUGGCGGCACCCGGCGGCAAAAACAGGUGAUUUCUUGAAAACUUUACUUAUACGUUCACCCUAAUCAAGUUUACUUCCAUAGUUGUGCUAGCAGCUGCUGACUAAUUGCAACUGCUUCCGAUGUUCAAAGUGUGUGCCGGAACAAUCAAGACUAAUAUUCUUCUUAUUCAGUUAUAGAUUUGUAAGUCUAAUUACUAGUAGUCCGGAAACUGUUGUGACAUUUUUCUGUCUCCAACAUGCAGAAACGAGCAAACCGGCAAAUCUACAAAGGCCAUGACCAAAUACUAUAAAAGAUCAAGCAAGGACGAUCUGGUUAUGAGGGCGACACUAGAAUCAAUCACGAGAAUUGGAUAAAACUGCAAAUCGGAUGAGAAAAAGUACAGGCCAGAUGUCAGAGUUUGGAUCCGAUAUUAAGGCAUCAAUUGUGAAUCUUGAUGCUGGUAAAAAAUACGGUGAAUUAUAGGAAGGCUUUAGAAUUAAAGAGCCUUGGUUUAUAGAGGGCUGCAAAGUAAUUGUGUGUUCAAAUCUACUGGCUAGCACUAUGCAUGUUCCGGAAAUAUGAUUCACUAUAUUUUGUAAAUAAGUAAUAAUAAUAUAAAAGAUCAUUGGUAAUUAACUCUAGCCUAACCAGCUCCAUUCAUCUGGCAACGCAUGGACCAGUGGUAGACCGUGAGUAAGGGUGAAAAUGGUUAGGAC